UGGUUAAAAGAUAGAACAGUCUAGCCAAGUGCCAUGUCUCUUAUUCUUGAUCAGCUAUAGCUCUGGGAUUUUUGCAGAUUUUCAAAUAAAACUCAGAGAUUCCUUGUAUGAUUCUCUCAGGUCUCUCUUUUGUGGUAUUUUUGGAUCCUUACCAAGGCAUUGAUGGUAUAUGCCUUCUCUCAAGAUAUGUGGUAUUUGUGGUAUGAGGCAUAGUGAUAUUGCCUUCUCUCUCACCCUACUCUAAUAAGGCUUUAAUAUUUGGAGCUCAUAGGUGGGAGAUAAAGUAUACAUACUUACAAGACAUUUAUUGCAUAGUCAAACCAUGGAUCCAAAGUAACAAGUCAAUAAGUUUAAUCAAGAUGUGCAUGUGUGGCGAAUGAAUGGUAUAUGGUGAUGAUGGUGAUAACAAUGGUGAAAACAAUGGUGGUGGAGGUCUAAUUCCACUUUGCUCUUUUGAGGGGAUACAUACCUUCCUUGCUUUUGAAACUUUAUGAGGAGAAUGAGAUGCUCUUCUUUUUCUUUUCUCUCAGGUGGGUAUCUUGCACCCCUAAUUCUACUGUCGGACACUUGUCCAUUUUUACCUCUCGUCUCACUUUUUCUUUUCUUUCGAGGUUCCGAGCACUUGCUCCUUUUUAUUUCCUCGUAUUAUUUUCUCUCUCUCUUUUUUUUUCUUUUCUAGAGCACUCAUCUCUUGAGAUAAUAUAGCAAGUGGUAGUAACAAGAUAACUUGAGCAUUUAUUUCACAAGGGGAAAACAGAAAAUAUUUUUGGUUAUUCUCUCCCGGAUUAGGAGUAGAAUAUUUUCAGGUGGUUCUAGAGAUGGAAUGGAUGGAUAUAUGUGGAUGGUACUUCCAGAGUAGAAGUAGCAUAUAUGAGUGAACGUGCAAGUGAAAUCUUGAUUUAACCACAUGACAAGCUCCUAAGGGUCUACACAGCUUGACCACACUCAAUGCUCAUAAGCAGUAAAUAAUAAAUGUGUGGCUGAAAGUCUAGCAAGCAUGUAUAUAUGGCUGUGGUAGGAAUUUAAACUCUCAUCAUACAGGAACUCAUCAUGCAACAUUUUAAAAAUUUUCAAGAUAAAAUUCUCCAGAAUUCUAGCAUCUCUAGGAACAGAUAAACAGCAGCUCAGCCUUCCCAUAUCUUAUCCGUUAACAACUUAAACUUCAGAUCAAGUUUUCAUCCCACAAGUUUAGGUCUAGGGCAAGCUUUAAAUUAUAACAGUUAUAUCUAAACUUGAGAGAGAACUUAAAAUUUGCAAAUUAGGCAGAGCAACUAUUUAUCAUAUCCAUGCUUAAGUUUUAUUUAGAUACAGAUUAGCAUAGCCACUUUAUUUAUUUAUUAAACACACUAAGCAAAAGAUAUAUAUAUAUAAGCUUAAAAUCUUUAUUUGGUUUUCCCAUAGUUUAUGUAUUUUAAUAUUCUAAAAUAAUGUAAGUAUAAAGAUAGAUAGAAAUACUUAUCGAGAUAAAUGGGGGUGCUCUCCCCCAAGCUGGAUUUUGACGUAAUUUCUCUUGAUGUAGCUAGCAGGUGGCAGAGGUGUAGUUGAAAGUCAGCAGCAUUCUGACAGCGAUUAGAAUGUCCUCCGUCUGCUAGUCUUCUUAAAUUCUGUGGAGCUCAAAUAGACAACAAAGCUUGUGGAACUAAUUAAGUGUUAGCAUAAAUAUAUAGCCUCCAUUAUCUUGAGACUCCUUAAUAAUUAUUACUUCCUGUUUUUAUAUUUUUAUUUUAUAAAGCAGAAAAAUAUUUAUUUUAUUUUUAUGCCACCACAGUGAAUGUACGUAUGGGUUUUAUGCCACUCGUAUAUUCACAUGGGGCUUACUGUUUUUCAUAUUUUUAUUUUCUUUUUAAGAUAAUACGAAUAUGAUUAACUAAGUAAACUAUUUUAAAUAAUUGAAAGAGAAAGGGUAACUACCAAGUUUACCUCUUGGCAAGGCGUUCGGUGUUUUUAAGUCCUCCGAACGGGACUCUCCAAUUUCUUAAUCGUCCUGAGGUUCGUUGGGUGGCGUAGUCGGUACUUCCGGCAGUGCCUCCUCUUCUUGUAUAGUUAUCUUCAUUUUCCAUACCUGACUCGGUGCUUCAAUCUCCUCUGGAUAAUUCUGUUUAAACUCAACGUCUUCUGAUCUUACAACUUCUCCUUCAUAGUCUGCCCAUCCAUCCUUGAUGAUCUGCCUCCUCUGGUUGCGGUUGCGUCUCUUUCUGACCUGCUUAGAUUCUUCAACGAUAUAGUUAGGGUCAGUAAAAUAACGGCGUACCUUCUCUGAGGGGAAGUGCAUAUGGACUUCUCCGGUUCCAAUGUAGAUAAUUACUUUAACGGUGCUGAGGAACGGUCUUCCAAGGAUGAUGGGUGGAUCAUACUCGUCUUCUCCCAUGUCAACAACUUGAAAGUCUGUGUAGACAAAGUGAUCGUCUAUUUUGACUGGGACAUCAGAUACUGUUCCUUGAACUUCUCGAAAUGUCUGAUCUGCCAUCUGGAGCUGAAUGUAUAUUGGUCUUAGUGGCAUGGUUCCGAACAAGAGCCGAUAGGUGACUGCGGCCAUUAUGUUGACGCCCGAUCCGGUGUCGCAAAUCGUCUUGUAGAAGUUGUAUCCAUUUAUGGAGCAGUAAAUGCUUGGCAUUCCUGGGUCGUCCUUCUUGGUCAAAAACGGUGACUUAAGUUGGUGAUCUUGGCCUCCAUGAACUACAGUGACCAUCUUAGCUGACUCGGUCCACACUUGCUUGUUCCUGUUUCUUCUGUUGGUCCUCUUCCUUGAUUCACGUCUGGAUUGAUCUUGAAUUUGUGUAGUCUUGUUCUUGAAGAAAAAUGUUUCCUUCUUCCCUUUGACGUAGAAACUGAUCUUGGCAGCACUGGCGUGGAUGAUAGCUCCCGUGGUGUUCAAAAAUGGCCUCCCUAAGAUGAUAGGUGCUCUCUCAUCAUUUCCGGUCUCUACCACUACGAAGUCUGCUGGGGCAUACAAGGUACCAACUCGGACACAAAGGUUCCUCACUAUUCCUUUUGGAAAAGUUAUCGUCUGAUCUGCAAACUGCAAACACAUGGUUGUCUCUAAUAAAGGAUAUGUAAAGAAUUUUUCAUAGAGUACCCUGGGUAUAAUGUUGACACUGGAGCCAAAGUCACAGAGUGCUUCUGGGAAGUCCACCAUGCCGAUGGAGAUCGGGAUGACGGGGCGUCCUGGAUCGCCUCUCUUGACCGGCAGACGGUCAGUAGAAAAUUCAGUGAUGGGGUUACUCCAAUUACCUGCAUCAAACGUGUCUAUAAGAUUUGCAGAUUCUAAUCCUUCCGGUUGUGAUGGUAUACCGGGGUUAGUAGUAGGAACAACAGCAGCUAUUUGAUUUAACUGAGAUUCAAUCAUUUUAUUAAAGCUAAUUUGAUUCUUGAUGGCAGUAGAGAAAUUAUCCAUUCUAUUAUUUAUAUUUUCUAGCAUUUUAUCAUUAGAUGCCAAUUUCUUAGAUAGGUUAUCCAUUAGCUUUCCUUGAUUAGACACUAACUCUCUCAAAGGUGGAAAAUUAUUAUUAUUGUUGUAAGAAUUGUUACCUUGAUAAUUACCUGAGUAGUUAGGCCUCUGUUGAUUCCAACCUUGAUUUUGUUGAGGACGGUUGUAGUUGUUGUUGUUCUUGUUGUUGAUGUAGUUCACAUCCUCAAGUAUCUCAGGGCAGUGGUUGCCUGAGUGUCCAGUGUCUCCACACUCCUCACAAGUCAUGUGAGAGUCGUAGAUGUGCAUAACUUCUUUCUUGUCUCCAGCUCUAUCGUCGAGCUUCUUCAUGAGCAGGUCUAGCUUUGCAGACAGCAUGUCUACCUCCUUCAGCUGAUGCAUACCUCCACCUCUCUUGCGUGUCUGGGUCCUCUCUUCAUUCCAGCUUUGAUUGGACGCCAUCUUCUCCACAAGAGCUGUGGCUUGUGGUAUAGUAAGUGAUAAGAAUGCUCCUCUAGCUGCAGCAUCCAUAGUCUCUCGGGCACUGUUACUGAGCCCAUGAUAGAAUGUCUGCAUCAAUAGCCAACUCUCCAUUCCAUGAUGGGGACAUUCUAGGAUGUAGUCUUGAAAGCGCUCCCAUGCUUCUGGAACAGAUUCAUCAUUUUGUUGCUGAAAACUUGUAAUCUUCCCACGGAGAGCAUUGGUCUUGCCCAUGGGAAAGAACUUAGCCAGGAAGUUUGUUGAGCAGAGUGCCCAUGUAGUAUUCUUCUCCUUUGUAGCGUAGAACCACUGCUUCGCUCUUCCUAACAGUGAGAAUGGGAAGAGGCGAAGUAGUAUAGCGUCUUUGGAAACUCCUGCUAUGGUGAAUGUGUUGCAAAUCUCCAGGAAGUGUUGUAAAUGAGCACUAGCAUCUUCGUGUGCCUUCCCACAGAACUGGUUGGAUUGCACCAUGUUGAUAAGUCCAGGCUUGAGCUCAAAGUUGCCAUCGAUCUCUGCAGCAGGUCCAGUGCGGAUGUUGUCCGUAGUGGGAGCUGAGAACUCGCGGAUUGAUUUGUUCGCCAUGGCUUCGAACUCUGAAGACAAGUUCCGGUGAUCUUCUUGAUUGGAUGAAACUUCUUCGUGAAGUGUUGAUGAUUUCUUUAGCUUGGCUCUCGUCUUCUUGAAUAAUGCUUCAUGAUCGUCAACAAAAUUCCCUGGAAGAUGUCUUCUAUUCAUACAUUCCCCUGCAUAAGAUAAAAUAGAAAAAUAUCGGGGUAAAACUGUAUGAGAGAAUAGAUAAGCUCAAUCAUAUUAGUGAUGCGAAUGAUUACUCUAAAUCUUUUAUUCUAUUCCUGAUUAGUAAUCAACCUUCCCCGGCAACGGCGCCAAAAAUGCUUGUUGGGUAUUCUUAACAUCAUUACCAAAAGUAGACUAAGUUCUCUAAAUCUAGUAACGGUGCCAAAAAUGCCAAACCUAUCCCUCACACCACUUAAGCCAAGUUGUCAUCCCCAGCAUGAUAUAAGAGACGCGGUAUUGAAAUAUGCAAUUGCUCUUCUAAAUAAAUAAUGAAUGGGAUCUGCAAGCGCACAGAUUAAUACCGAUGCAGCAUUUUAACCGGGAAGUAUUCCAGGUAUCGUUAUUUAUAUUUUUACCACUGGGAAGGGAUUAGAAAUCAUCACUAAUGAUUACAGAAUAGAAUAUGAGAUUGAGCAUCUAUCAUUGCAUGUAUAAUUGAGAACAUUAUAUCUAACUCAUCAUACAGGGAUAAAUGUCACAUAAAAGAUAUAUGAAAUAAUAAUAGUGACAAGGAUAACAAAUCUGAUCUAGCCACAUAAUAAAUAUGAUAAGCACCUCAAUUAGAUACUCUAGAAAGUCAUUAGCAUGGUAUUAGAACGAACUACAAGAAUAUUCCCUAAGUUAUUCUCAACUAUAUAGUCUAACAUUAUCAUAGUUAGUGCAAGCAUACUUAGCAAUCAUUGUGAGACAAGACUACACCCAUGCAUAGUGAUAUUAGCAAGGAAUAUGAGAAACAUAGCAAUCACUCCCCUGUAAUAAUGUUGCUCUGCCAGCCCAAUACACGAGAGGGGGACUAUAUAAGAAUCAAUGAAGCUGUCACUAUCACGAACCACCCCACGAUCUGGCAUAUUGGGUACAAUCGCAGAUAAAUACGGUAUAAGCACCACGCCUACACAAUAUCUAUCAUUUACCCAUGGAUCCGAUGGAUAAACGCUAUACGAUCCUAAGCAUGUAUAUAGAUCGUAUCUAACUAAGCCAAGUACAUAACUAUGAUAAACUAAGAACAAUAUAAUCUUGAAUAUAAGCAAGUAGAGCAAAGUCAUAAGCAAUAUAUUGAAGUAGAACAAAGUCAUAUUCAUAAUAUUGAAGAACAAAGAUAAUUAGAAAGCAAUUAGAAGCACAAUUAGAGAAUUACCAAGAAUCCUCCUGACAGAUCCGGAAACCAAUCGAAGAUUGACUCCUUCUAGUUCUAAUCCUAUGUAGCUAUGCUAAUCUAGAUAUCUAAUUGAUGUGGUGGCUCUAAUCUCGAUCAGAGGCUUCUUCUCCCUUGAUGGAACAAUGAAUUAGGGUUGAGAGGCUCUCCCUCCAGGGGCCAGGGGGUCUGGUUUUAUAGUCCCUCCAAGUGAAUAUGGGCCCUUGGAUCAAACCGACAUAGAUUGUAUGGUUUAGAUUCAUCCUUUAGGUCGGUGGAGACUUCCCGCAAAGCAGAGUCCUGAUUGGACUUGGACAGGGGGCGGGCGCCCAGUAGGACAGGGCGGGCGCCCUGCCUCUGGCCCCGUUUCGCCUCCGCUUCGGUCUCGUGGCUUCUGGAGUCUUCUAGAUGUAAAAUAAUUGCGCAGCACGUUAAUAUCUUUACGUAAUCCUGACAUGUGGGCCUUUCUUCCAUAUUUCCUGAUAACCCCCUGCAGAAAUAGACAAACACCAAAACUCGUGAAAUUCUGUCAGAUAAAACCCUAAGUCUAGAUCUUGAUUUCAUUUGGAUCCUUUUCUUUAUUUAUUUGAUAAUUAAAUUUGAUAAUUAAGGACCGUCAACAGAAGCACCGGAUGCUCAGAGCGCGUCCGGUGAUGAGAGUCCGGUGCUCUGCGCUUUUGCAAUGCUCUCUGGGUUUAAGUCCAGUAGCACUGGACGGUCCGGUGCUCAGCGUCCGGUGACCCUGCAAGUUUGCAGACCUCCCUGAGUUUAGGACCGGUGUGCACUGGACACGUCCGGUGGCAACUUGACCACGUCCGGUGCCCUGCAAGUUACCAUUAGACUCUGACGCGUGAGAUUCAAAAGGCGACACGUGGCCAUUUCUGGAGCACCGGACGCAGGGGUUGAGCGUCUGGUGCCUCUUGUUGAGCGUCCGGUGACCCCGUGUUCUGCCCAGUGAAAGGGCUAAUGGCUCUAUUUGUUUGAGGGGCUUAUAAAUAGUUGUUGGCCGGCUUAGGGCUCACUCUCUUGGCAUUCUAGCAUACUUGAAAUCCUUGUGAGCCUAAGCAAACACCUCCCACUCGUAUCUUUCAUAGAUUAUUCAUCUUUGUGAGAUUGGGAGUGAUUCCAAGUGCAUUUGCUUGAGUGAUUGCAUCUAGUGGCACUUGGGGAUCGUUCUAGCUGUGGUUUUCUUGUUACUCUUGGUGGUUGCCGCCACCUAGAUGGCUUGGAGCAGCGGAGGAGCUUUGUCACACGUUGGUGAUUGUUCGUGGCCAUCUCCCGGUGAUUGUGAGGGGUCUUGUACCUUCCCCGGUGGAGAGCCGAAAGGUAACUCUAGUGGAUUGCUCGUGUCAUUGAGCUACCUCACUUGUGGGUAGGUUCUUGCGGUGUCCUAGUGAGGACGAGGUUCGUGCUACACCUCUUAGCCGCCGAACCACCAAGUGUUGGUCGACACAACGGGGACGUAGCGUGCCGGCAAGCACGUGAACCUCGGGAGAAAAAUCAGUGUCUCAAUUGUAUUUGAUUGGCAUUCUCCCGGUGCUUGAUUGUUUAUAUUGGUGAUUGGUUCAUACCCUACACGGUGGUAUAAAUAUCUCAUCCUAUCCUUUAUUUACCGCAAAGUAGUGUAAUUAGUUUAGUUGCUCACUUUGCCUUGUGUAGUAUAGCUCACUAGUGUAGCUUGUAGUGACAUAGUUCUUGUGUGCCUAGUGAUCAUAUCAACUAGAAUUGUUGGAUAGGUGGCUUGCAAAAACCCCCUUUAGAGCUAGAGAAAAAAGCUUCGCUUUGUUAUUUACUAACCUCUUGCUCUAGUGAGUUUGUAGAAUUUUUAAAUAGGCUAUUCACCCCCCUCUAGCCGACCUUUCACCUAACCAAUUUGUUAAAGAAGGGUACUAUAUUUGUCUGGGCUUUUCAAGCUCUCAAAAGUGCUCUAGUCUCUGCUCGUGUACUAGCCUUGGUAGACUUGCAGAAGCCUUUCCUGGUGGAAACUGAUGCAUCAGAUUAAGGAAUAAGAGCUGUGCUACAGCAGGAACAACACCCAGUAGCAUAUGUCAACAAAGCUUUGGUCCCUAAGAAUUGGGUAUUAUCAGCAGAUGAGGAGUGUCUAGCCACUACUAUAGGAAAUUUAAUGGAGGUGAGCAAAAUAGCUUAACCGAAGUGGGCAAGCCAAUCACCUCAAAGCUAAGAUCAUAGUUAAUCAUGGUCUUAAUCGAGGUGUUAGCCUCGGUUAAUACAUUAACAGAGGCAGGUGUUGUAACCCAAUCACCUCGGUUAAUUCUAAUUAAUGGAGGUGGUUGCCCUAACUUGCCCACCUCUGUUAUGAGUUUAAUCGAGGAGGUUGGCUUAAUGAAACCAUCUCCAUUAAACCUUUAGCAAAGGUGGUUUUUAUACCAUGUCUGCCUCUGUUAAGUAUUUCCAGAUUAAAAAAGAUUAUUUCUUUUCAUUUUAUAAUUUGAAUUUAAAUUUGAAACCAAAUUUUGUCAGGUUAAAAUACAUACAAAGCAGAAAACACACGUAUGAAUGAUAAAAAACAUAUAUAUUACAACCAUUCAUGUGUCGUUGUCCUUGUUAUUCCACCAUGCAUGUCACACACACUAAGUUCAUAUUACAUUAAUGUUGACAUUGUUCACAAAAUCACAUCACAUGUUUACAUGAUAACCCUAUGGCACCUACUCGAAGAUGUCUAGCAACUUGUAGUCAUUCAUGUCUAGAGUGUCGCUUCUCUAGUUGCGUAGAUUCACGUACUUCUCCACCAUCCCUAGCUCGCUCUUGGCAUAGAAGAAAGUUCACUCAACAAUGACAAUAUUGGUCUGUAACAAACUUACCAAUGUUAGCUACUGUUUGAGUGAUGUUCCUAUGGUCAAUCCUUUCCUUUACCCACCAGCUUAACCGAGGCAACUACUAGGCCGGUGGUCCGGCCUCGAUUAACUGAGGCGGGCCAUUGACCUAACCACCAAAAUGCCUCCCAAAAAAAUUGUAUUAGUGAGCCAUUCUUUUGGCUAUUGACCAUUGGAGGCAAUACCUUCAGCAUAUAGCGAGUUCAUCUUGAAAAUAGAUCGAAAGAGUUUAGUCUUUCUUGAUGAGCAGAGGAUGAUCACAACUUGGCAACAUAAGGCUCUGGUGAAAUUGAUGGGGCUCAACUUUAAAAUAUGUUAUAAGCAAGGCAUAGAAAACAAGGCUGUAGAUGCACUCUCUAGGGUGCCACUAGGUCCUCAUUAGGAAGUUGUAGCAAUUUCCUCUCUUUAAGCAGUUUGGCUCAAGGAGUUGGUUGAUGAGUACACUUCCAAUGAGUAUACUGCUAAGCUUGUAAUAGAUCUAGCUAUUUAUAGUCUAGUUGUUUAGAGUUCCUCAGGUCAUUUCCCUUUGCAUGAUGGAGUAAUGAAGUAUAAGGGUAGAGUGUGGGUGGGCCACAAUACCACUAUUCAACUGGAAAUUUUACAAUGUCUCCACUCUAGCCCUAUUAGGGGCAUUUUGGUCUUCCAACAAUCUAAAAAAGAAUCAAAGAGCUCUUUGUCUAGCUUGGAAUGAAAAAUAUGAUCAAGCAGUUUGUGGCUCAAUGCAUAAUUUGUCAACAACCAAAGCCUAAGAGGGUGAAAUAUCCAAGUCUUCUCCAACCCUUACUAGUUCCUAGUUAUGCUUGGCAAGUGGUGAGCUUAGAUUUUGUUGAGGGCUCCUACUUCAAACAAUGUCAAUUGCAUUCUAGUAGUGGUUGAUAAAUUCUGAAAGUAUGCCCAUUUUAUCUCUAUGAAACGCCCUUUCAUUGCAUUCCAAGUUGCUUUAGCCUUUAUGGACAAUGUUUCCAAGUUACAUGGGUUGCCUAAAGCAAUUAUCUCGGAUAGGGAUAGAAUCUUUACUAGCUCUGUAUGGCAAGAGUUGUUCAAAAUGACCAAAACACAACUCAAGAUGAGUACUGCUUACCAUCCUCAAAAUGAUGGCCAGACUAAGAGGGUUAAUCAGUGCCUAAAAAGCUAUGUAAGGUUUUUUGUUCAUGCCUAUCCAAGUCAUUGGAAGCAGUGGCUUACAUUGGCAGAAUUCUGGUAUAACACCUGUUUUCAUACUUCACUGAAUACUACUCCUUUUGAAGUUCUUUAUGGUUAGAAGCCACAACACCUAGUCAUUGAUGUUAUAUAAUCUUGUGUUGUUCCUAAUCUCAAGGUGUGGCUCAAAGAAAGAAGUGUCAUGGUACAACUGUUGCAAUAGCAGUUAGUCAGAGCACAAUAGAGACAGAAACACCAGGCAAACAAAAUCAGAACUGAAGAACUUUGAGUUGGGUGAUUUUGUGUAUCUCAAGCUCCAAUCGUAUACAGACCUUUGUUGCCACAAGAGCUUGCCACAAGCUAUCAUUAUGAUAUUUUGGGCCUUACCAGAUCAUUGCUAAAGUGGGUAGGGUGGCCUACAAGCUGGUGCUGCCUCACACUACAACUAUGCAUCUAGUUUUUCAUGUCUCCCAACUUAAGAAGGUUGUUCCACCAAGUUUCCAAGUUUCCACUAAACUUCCCUAUUCCACUACUACUGAUGCUUUUAGAUUCCCUAUCAAGAUCUUACAACAAUGACUCAAACCACAUGGAUAUCGAUUAGUCUCUGUAGUUUUGAUUUAGUGGUCAUAUUGGCUGAUGUCGAUGGCUACUUAGGAGCUAGAGGAUGAACUCAAGCUUCAGUUUCUUGGAGCGUCGACUUAGGGACAAGCCGUUUCUCAAGGGGGGAUGUCAGGGCCCAGAUGGUGCUUAUCCAAAUGAAGAUGUUGAGCAUCAAUUGGUGGGAAGCAAUGGUGAAGAAGAAGAAGAAGUUGUCAAACAUGGGCUGAGGAUAGCGAAGCCAAAAGCCCAACCCCAAGUACAUCAGGCAUGCAUGAUUGGGUGGCAUGAUCGAGUUGCCAUGGAGAGGAGUUAAGAGUAGGGGAGAGACAAGGAGUAAGAAGAGGAAAAUAGGCUAGCUUCGUCUAGAUCGAACUGGUGGUAGUGGAGUAGAUGCUCGCUGACUAAUGUAAUCUACCUUCAUUAUUGUAAACUCUUCCUGAACGCUAUUCCAAUUCACAUAUCAUGAACCUAUAUCAUUGUGUUCUGUGAAGUGAAAAUGAGUAGAGUUCAUAACAGGCCAGCAAGGUCACUCGACACAAUAUACAAAAUACAGUUUAGCUUCGGCCAUUACAAAUGUAAAAUCAUCAUGGAAAGAACUCCUAGAGCUACCAACUCAUGACAUAGCUACAAGAUUAUUACCACCUCUUGGGACAACCACUCAUCCCACUGUAAAACUUUCAAGUCAUCGCCUCCUUUAGUUCAUGGAUUAGCAACGCCCUUUCCAAUUGUACAACAUCCUUCUCUAAAACAAUAUGGAGUAUUUUCUCUGUCCAAAAAAUAUUGCAAUUGGAGAGUUCAAUUUUUCCUAGAAAAAAUGCACGAAUAGGAGCAUAGAUACUAGUCAUGGGACCCAUAGGUAGUAAAUACCGCAUGCGAACUUACCUCUUGCAAGGACAUGCCUCUCAUCCACUAGUUUGGUCUUCUAGGUCUCAUCCUACGUCGAAUACCCCUGUACGAAGUUCAAACCAUUAUCCAUUGUUCCACCAACAUAUUUCAACUAUAGGGGCAUCAACAUCAUUUUGCCUCAACAUUGGUUUGCUCGCUCGGUCCUUCGAUUGCAAUAUAUUAGGAUGGAAAGAGUACAUAUGGAUUUCUGUCUCUAAUGUUUGGUUCUAUCAUAAAGCAUGUUGUGACUCACUUUGGUUAUUUACACUAAAAUGUCCAUCUAUAUUAAUCUUCAAAAGGCCAGGUUCAGGGUGCUGCCACUUCUAUUGUGCCUACCCAAAAGUUAAGAUACCACUUUUGCCUUUGUACAUGUCUUCUGUAGUAUUUCUGCAGCUUGCCUAUAUCUAUAUAUGUGAUUUUAGAAUCGUUCCUUCCUUUUUCUAUCAGCUCCUUUGAUCUUGUUUCAUUUAUGCCAUCAAUUACUUAGAAGGAAAGAAGUCUUGAGUUGUCUAGCAUCGAACAACAAAGUAGCAAUAGAUAUACCUGGGGUAACACAUUUAUGUACUUGUACAACAACACGCAUGGCUUGCAGUUCAAAUGAACAUGAUAAAAAUCUACAAAUUAAUCUAAUUACAUUGAAAAUAUGAAGCCCAUUUAUUAUUAAAAAAACACCUAAUUUGUAGGUGCAGUUAGUAACAUUGGACGCUAGCUUCAUCAAAAUUUCAGAAAUAGUGGAGCGGUACAGAAAUAGGUACCUCAUUUAGGACCGUUUGGUACAACUCCACCUAAAACACCUCCGGUUGUAGCUCUUUUCGUAGAGUAGCUUCUUGGAUGGAAGUUUUACUUGUUAGAAAAUGUUUGCUAAAACAGUUUCUCUUGGUAGGUAAAAUAUAUGAAAUAUUCAUAAUACCUCUAUUUUCUUUUUAUUUUCUUUUUUUCCUAUUUUUCUUUAUUUCUUCUAAUUAUUUCAUUUCCACGGCUCCAUCUAAUGCGUUUUGCUCACCUCCUCCACAUGCAAUCCAUGCGGCAUGUGUCGCUGCCUCCUAGCACAACCCACUCCAUGCUGCCUCCUAGCACAACCCACUCUACGCCGCUGCUAGCUCGCCACGACCGAUGGCUCUGCUCCUACAUAUGCCUCAAGAUCUAGCGACCCUGCACCUCCACAUCCUUGGCGGCUCCACACCUCACCUGGCCUGAGCUUCGGUGACCCUGGACCUACUCACCACCACCAGCAUGACGAUAUGCGGUGUUGGUGUUUGGCGUGUUCUGCACAUCCUCCUCUUCUCGAUUUACUCAGACAAAGGGAGUAGGGGUGAGGAGGGGUGUAAGACUCGGGUGGCAGUGGCAUCUAGCGUGGGCGAGCUCCUAGUGUAGGAGGCCUAGCGAAGCCGAGCGCAGUCAGACGCUGCCACCAUGACUGUCUCCUUCCUUCUUAUGGCGCAAAUGGGGCAUCAGAGCAGACGUCGUCUCCUUCCCUGCCUUCCUCUUGGUGGCGCACCUCCUCAACAAAACACUACGGUCCUGUCUCCGUGGCCUCUAUAUGGGCACAAUCCAUCGGAUUGGAGGUUACCAUCAUCGAUCAAGUCGAAUUUGUCUUGGAGUCGAGUCUGUCUUGAAAUGAGCUUGGUAGGAGUUUGCCCAGGAGGGAGGCACGGGGUGAAAUUGAGUGAGGGAGGCGGGGACACGUGGAGUGGGGUGAUAUGACGAUACCCAUAUUUUUUAGAAUUACACCGUAGACACCACAAUACACACGCAUUCAACCUUUUAAACAUACGUAUGCAAACCAUAUCUCUAUGACACAUUCAAAGGACUGAGAUGGUAGAUUUUGAGAUUCAUGAAGUCGACAUAGACGCCUUGUUGUCAAUAGACUAUCACUAAAAGUAUGGCGUCAUUAAAUCCAGAUAGAUAUAGAAAUAACUCGACCGGGGUGGUUAAGACUGCCGCCGCAGCUUUGAAAUUAAGAAGAAAGUGCCUUCUCAUCCGGCGAGAAAACCCCCGAACCCCACCCCCAUCCAUAAUGGUGGCCUUUCCGUCGCCCAAGUGAGAAUUGGGCUAGACCCCAGUGCUUUGGUAUGAGGACAGAUGAGGGGAUUUUUUAACCAUGCCUAAAAUUCGCUCUCCUAGUAUUCGAACUCAGGAUCUAGGAGGUGCCGCCGGAGUGCUAAACCAAUAGAGAUUCAAAGGUUUAUGAUUGUUUGAAAUAGAGAUACCGGAACUCGAGAAGGUCAUAUCAAUUCCAGAUGCAAGCCAGGAGCCAUUGUGGGCUGAGUGGGCUUUCUCUAGGGCCCUCUGGCCCACUAAAGCCACGGAGGAGGAGAAAAACGACGCCGGAAAUAAUGAUAGGAAAAAGAAAAGGAAAAUUAACGGCUCGUCGGCCCUCCACGGAAGACGCGAACCCAGAAAAAUCUCACGAAUUCUCUCGUGGCCGCGGCGACCGGAAGAAGACAACGACGACGGAGGCGGCGGCGAUGGCGUGCCGCGCACUGGCCCUCCGCUCCCUGCUCCUCCCCGAACCGCUCCACCGCCUCCCGGCCGCGGUGCCGCCUGUUGGGAGGGCGCCCCGUGGCGGCCGCCGUCCGCAUCUCCGCUGCUGCUCCGGCGGCGGCGGCGGGGACCCCGGGCAGCCGCCGCAAGAAGCUGUGCUCGAGGCCAUAUCCAGUGAGUCGUCAUCACCCGCUACCCCACUAUUUAUUAGUACGAGUUAUUCCAUCUUGCUUGUUCGCCGCUUCAGCUAGUCGCUUCGAUCGGUUCUUGCUCGAAUAUUUGGUAAGGAAUAAUAGUUUUAGACAUUGGGAUAACCGAAUCACUGGUUUAUUGCGAUGGUUGGAUUCGUGGUUACCUUCGGAUAGGUAAUAUUGACCGUUGUUUUUUUAUGGAAUUAGUGUAAAAAGUACGAUGCUUCCGUGGCCUGGUGUGAUUUAGCCAAAAGACAGUUUCGGCUACAGUACUUUAGUUUCGCAUGGGUUGUUUGCUUUGCAUAUUAUUCUGUAAUAGGGUAAUCAGGAUAAGCUGUAGCAUAUAACUGCUCACUAGACGAUAGCAUAGAUGAAUUGGAGUAUUUAUCAAUGCAAGGCCCUGCAUGUUUCAGCUUGUAAAUUGUGAAAAGCAGCUUGCAAAUUGUAACAAUCUAGAGGCUAGGGGAGCAGAUUGUUGGAUUGUAACAAUCUGGCCUGUCGAUUGUUACAGUCCAGGGUGAGCUGCUUGUUUGUUUUAGCUUGGAGAUAGUAAAAGCUACAAUCCACAUUGCAGAAUCAGAAUAAAACAAACAGGACCUAAGGAUGUAAAGUUACAUAUCUGCUUGCAGGACUAUUUUUUGGUUAGUGCCUACUUUGCCAAAUUCGUGAAAUUUGUGUUUAUGUAGGAAGGAUUCAUGUUUCCACUGAGCCAAAACUUCUGCUAGGGUUUAUUCCAUGCUCUACUUCAUACUGGCUUUUAUUUUUCUGAAAACAGAGAUCGCAAGGUCUAAAGGAAGGGUUGCACUCACAACAAAUAUGGUCAUGGGUGGUACUGUGACGGAUGAUGCAAGUGAUGAAUGGCUUGUUCUGGAUCAGAAGGUGUGGCUCGUUGUAGAACUUUGUCCAUCUGCAUUGCAACUUACAUAAAUAUGGACCUACAAUGGCUCUAAGGAGCAGUUGACUCCUAAAUUUUGAGAAAUGCAAUGAGAACCCUUUAUAUAUUUGAAAUGCUUUUGUUUGUGCCAAUAUUCCUUCUGGAAGCAGUAGCUCCGUAACAUCAAGGUAGGAUUUAUCUUGUGUUUUGUUUUCAUGAAAUGGUAGGUCAUAAGAUCACAUGACUUUUAACUUUGUGACACUCAUUUGUGGUAUGCUUUGUAUGUUCCGAAUACAGUAUUUUACACCAUUGAUGGUCUUCAACUUUUUCAGGAAACACAGUAGUGAUUGUGAACAGAUCAUGCUGGCUUUCAUUUUCAGCAUGUUUUUAUCACGAUUAGUACUUGCAUGAUAAACUUUAAUCAAUUUCUGUGCAACGAAGUGCAUCUCUGCUGUAUCCUUUUUGAAUUAAAAGUUAGAGUGAAAUGAACCCUAAAAAUUGUAAUUCUAUAUUUUUUUAGUCAUUGCUUACUAGCUAUGCUGUUUUGCUUCACAGGUAAAUUCCUACCCCACAGAUAGAGGAUUUACGGCAAUUGGCACUGGAGGUGAUGAUUUUGUCCAGUCAAUGGUAGUUGCUGUUGAAUCUGUUCUUCAAGAAUCCAUUCCCAAGGUUAGUUUUUUACAGUUCUUAGAAUUUAUUUCUAAAUCUUGGUAGUUAUCAACAGGAAGAUGUAGUUAGACUUCUAUUGCUUUGCGUAGAGACAAUGUUCCUACAUACUAGUCAUUGAUGAUAUCAUUAAUAAGUUCGCUCUGACUGUGCACUUAUCAUUUUCACUUUAGUUAUUUGUUGUUAUGCUUCUUAUAGAUGGGUUAGACUAAUACUUCUGUGAAAACUUUGCUUCCCCAUGUGAAGACAUGGAGGAAAAAGUUGUGCCAGGAGACAUGUUCCAAUGUUAGAUUGUAGUUGUAGUUGUCUACUGUAUGUUAGAAAGGCAAUAUAAUGGCCAUUACUGGCUCCCCUAUAUCGGUCACUGCUGGCCCUAAUAGCAGAUCUUAUCUGCAUGUACAUUUCUAGCUUUGUAUUGAUUAGGUAAGAUUAGAGGACAUUAUAGGAUUUUAAUUCUUUCCUUGCAUGUACACUCAUGGCUGUAUAAGUACAGCCUGCAGCAAUAGAGAAAACCAUUCCCCUCUAUUCUUUCAGUCUCAUUUUACAAUCAUUCCGUUGAUUUGUUUCUCCGAUGUAUCUUGAAAUGGUUUGCACAGGGCCGGGUAUCUCAGAAAUUAUCUUCAAGAGGAAAAUAUGUUUCUGUAAACAUUGGGCCAAUUCGUGUUGUUUCUAGUGAGCAGGUGAUAUGAAGUUUCCCCUUUAUUCAAAUGUCUUUACCAGGAAAAAGAUGCCUGUUUUCUGAGUUUGUUUUUUCUGUUCAUUUCAUUUUGUAUAGACAUAAAGGUUCCCCUUUUAUUGAAGUUCUCCCUGCUGCUUUUCAGGUCCAAGCUGUGUAUCGUGCCAUGAGAAGAGAUAACAGGAUGAAAUACUUCUUAUGAAUUGCAGUUGCAUGUCCUGCAUGUUCCCUAGUCCAUUCCAUCUUUUAACAUAAGGAGUCCUACAAUGCAUUUUCGCCAUAUUUGUAAGUACCAAAUCAACAAAUGGAACCGUUAUGUAGAUUGCCUGAUUUCUAGUUGGCCCCUUGUGAUGUCAAAGUUCCCCUGAUUGUAGGGAAUGCAGGCUGGACUUCUGGUGAAUUCCAAAAGGAAAUGGGAAGACUUCUAUGUGCCAUUCAAGCCCAAACUGAUGCUUCUCAAAUAAUCUGCUACAAAACAAUUUGUUGGGUUCAGUUACGUUAUGUAGUGCAGCGGGCGUAUAUAGCUACUAUGUAUGUUAAAGAUGUAUUUUAGUAUUUCAUAUUAGAUGCGUUUUGCUAUUUUAUAAACAAACAGUAUGAACAGCAGUAUAAGUGUUCCUAAAUUAUCGAUGUGUCUUCAAACUUUCAUGCUGCCACUGCCUGCCUUUUCAACGUAAUUACUCCCCUAAAAUCUGGCUAAAAGAUAUCUUUGACUGUCUCCAACAAGCAACCUAUAUGGGCAUCUAAACCAAAGACGGGUGGCAGAGGUCCAAAAUUGGCUUCCAACAGAUUACUAUACAGGAGAUCUAUUUUGGGUUAUCUUAGAUGUACAACCCAAAUAAUUAAACUCAUUUGCAGAAUCAAAUAUGAGUAUGCUCUCUUCUAGAAACUAAUUUGUAGGAUAGAUUCUCUUUUGAGUGUGUUGUUGGUCAAGAUGGCAACGGGUACUCAAAACCCGAGUACCCGACGGGUUUUAUUUGAUAAAAAAGACGGGUAUGAGAUAAAUUUUCUACUCGUGGAUACGUUAUUGGACAAAAUUCUAUAUCCAUCGGGAUCGCAGGUACGUGUGUGGGUGUAUACUAUUCAUACUCUUCUACCCGCGGGUAAAAAAUACCCACCAAAAUAACUAGUCACCCUUGUCAUUUUAGCCUAUAUAACCCAUGAAUUUGGUCUAAAUCCAACUAAACUCACCUAAUAUAUAUAUAUAUAUAUAUAUAUAUAUAUAUAUAUAUAUAUAUAUAUAUAUAUAUAUAUGAAUUUGAUGUUAUUAUAGGAAUAUUAAUUUGUAACCUGUUGGAGGCUUAAAAAAUACUCCAAAUUUCAUCCUAUCUUUUUUACAUAAUUUUUAUUACCCACCUAGAUAUAACAUCUUUAUAACUAUCUAUCUAGAAAAGCAAGAACAUCUUACAAAUUAGAACAGAGGGAAUAGUGGAAAAUUGGAAGCGCGUGCCAAGGAAAUGGUUUCACCAAUUACCCGUUGUAUAUACAGACCACGCCGGUUUCCAUUAACCAGAUAUGGACAUUGGUAUUUAUAACAAUGGUGAUUUCCGGAGAAAUUGCCCCUAGUACAGUGACGGGGUAAAGAGUGCUCUGGCAUAACGAAAGCCCCAUCAAGCUGGCCUGUUUUAUUAUUAGACUGGAACCACAAGUUCGGGAUUACUGAAACCACAGCAGAGCAGGAACGGAAGCAGAGAAAACCAUAUAUAUGUGUUCUACAGGAUACUGCGCUACACAGCUUUCGAUACAAGUUUACAACUCAACAUAAAUACGACUGGUUCUGCAUCAUGUCCGCUGGCAAUUAAGCCAUGGAAACGAUCCGGCUGAAUCCACAAGAUCAGACGUCAGUUGCUUCCUUCACUUGUCCUACCAAAGGUAAACAUAAACAUGUGAUUUAGGAAACUUCAUGUUAAGGCCCUGUUUAGUUCCCUACUCAAAAUUUUUUCAUCCAUCCCAUCGAAUCUUUGGACACAUGCAUAGAACAUUAAAUGUAGAUAAAAAAAUAAACUAAUUACACAGUUUAGUUAAGAAUCGCGAGACGAAUCUUUUAAGCCUAGUUAUUCCAUGAUUAGCCUUAAGUGCUACAGUAACCCACAUAUGCUAAUGACAGAUUAAUUAUGCUUAAUAAAUUUGUCUUGCAGUUUCCUGACGAGCUAUGUAAUUUGUUUUUUUAUUAGUUUCUAAAAACCCCUCCCGACACCCUCCCGACACAUCCGAUGUGACACCCAAAAAAUUUUCGUUCCCAAUCUAAACAGGCCCUAAACAUACGGAAAAACUAAUGCUUGUACAAGUCUCCUUGCCUACACUGGCAUCUGGCACCCGAUUUCGCCACCGUCCAAUUUUGUGUUUUGGUAUAUUCUCAGCCUUGCCCAUCCAAACUCUGGCAAUGUCUGUGUGGUUAGGAUUCAGCGUUGAAGGGUCCUUUGCAAAGCUAAAGAGAAGCCUGCGGUGAGCCGGCGAUAGGCUGGCCUGAUGAUGGCGAUGGAUUCCACUGUUGAGCACGGUGGGGUAGCAGAGGGAUCACUGCCUAGUGUCGUGGAGGACCAGUUGUGGGCCAGGUUGUUUCGGGGAGUCAGGGAGAAGAUGACAGUGGUUAGCAGGAGGGAGCAGAGAGGAGGCUGCUUUGCAGGUAAGGUAGGACAGUGGGCAGCAGCCAGGGGGGACGCAGGGAAGAAGCCAUGGUGCUUCCUGAGUGCCCAGUAGACAGAUGCUGAAAAAAAGAGAGUAAGAACAAAAGCGUCCUAACUCACCACUUGGUAUUGUUUCUCUUCUUUAUAAUAGCGGUUGAAACCCAAUGUAUCCUUGAUCUCCUGAAAAGAUGGCAAGAUGCUAGGUGGAGGUACACCGCCGUCUUUUAUCGCAACUAGAGCAUCCUGCAUGUCAGAGAUUCUUGUGUUAUGAACAAUACGUAAUGCUUUUGACACCAUCAGAAUGAAACAUCUAUUGAAAAUGAUAAGCCUAGUCAAUAGUAGUUGUGGUUUGUUAGCACCAACAGGAUCUUCAGAAACUAGGAACAAUACGUAAUACAUUGUUGAAUGAUUAUGUAUGCGAGGUGAAGGAUGAAAUGAAUGAUACAAGAUCGUGAGUUGAGGAAGAGGAAAAACUAAAAUAACAUAAAUGAUUGCAUUAGAACUUAAAACUGACAAAAUAAUAAUAUUUUUUUUCUCAAACAAUACAGGAGAGAAGGAAAUAAGUACAAACUGCAUACAGAAAAGGGAGAGGCUAAUGAAAGGCCCUCUCAAGCACACCGCACACACGAGAAGCUAAGGGACACAAACACAGCACAACCAGCCCACCUCUAACCAACCUCAAGGGUCAGGACCCUGAGACCUAAUGAGGAGCUCAUAGAGCAAAGGCACCACCAAAACUGUCAUGUGCGGGCGCACUUAUGCCCGGCGCAGGAGAGCCCGCGACGUGCGCCGGGACGCCGAGCGCGCGGCCAGGGCCCAGGAAGGGCAGGCGAGUGGCUGACAGGAUUAGGAGGAAAGCUAGUUAGUUAUUUCCUUGUUAAGAUUAGUCCUACAAUUAAGGAGAGCUCUCUCCAUCUGUUAGGCCACGGGCCUUAUAUACUGUACGCAGGGACAAAUUGAGAUUAGGCAGAAAGUUAUCCCUAAUCUUCCCAUCUCUUUCUACAAGCCGACGGCUGAGGGGUAUAACCUCGCCGGCGUGACGGACGGCGGCUACGAGCUACGUAGCCGAGGUCCGGCCAGUCAGGGGUUUGAGGCCCUUGACAACCUGGUAUCACGGUCUCGCCGAUCCUCGCCCACGCGUUCCGAUCACUCAUCCUCAGCAGCCUCCCACCAGCCGCCGCCGCCUUCAACACUCAGCUCCACAGCGUCCAUGGCCGAACCCACCCUUGCCGACGUGCUCAACGCACUGAAGUCCCUCAGCUCCGAGGUGAACUCCCUGAAGUCCGACAUGGCGGCCCUGAAGGACAAGUCCUCGUCGUCCUCGGACAACCACGACGAUCGCCGCCAGGAAGGGCCGCGGAAUCCCGACCCCUUCUUCAAGCACAAGAAGUGGGACUUUCCCCGCUUUGAUGGCACGGUCGACCCCAUGCUCUUCAUCAACAAAUGCGAGUCGUACUUCCGCCACCAUCGUACCAUGGGGGAAGAGCGCGUUCGAAUGGCAUCUUACCAUCUGGACGACGUUGCUCAGCUGUGGUACAACCAGCUUGAAGAAGACGAUGGCGCACCAUCCUGGGGUAGGUUCAAAGACCUCCUCAACGAACGCUUCGGGCCGCCCCUCCGCGCCGCCCCCAUGUUUGAGCUCUCGGAGUGCCGCCGCACCGGGACUGUCGAGGAGUACGCAAACCGCUUCCAGGCCCUCCUUCCCCGUGCCGGGCGCCUGGAUGAGUCCCAGCGGGUCCAACUCUUCAUCGGCGGUCUCCUCCCGCCCCUGAGUCACGCGGUGCGCAUCCAUAAUCCCGACACGGUCGCCGCCGCGAUGAGCCUCGCCCGUCAGGUGGAGCUCAUGGAGAUCGACAAGACACCACCCACCCCGGCCCGUCCUGACGCAAAAACACCAUAAGCUGAUUUCAUGAGCCACUGUGAGACGGAGUGUCUAACCUGGCUCCUUCAAAGACAAUGGUGUUCCUAUGUUCCCAAAUCUCCCAGGUGACAAGAAUGAUUAGAGAGUUAAGGCCCUUGUGCAUCUCCUUAGGGAGACCUCUAACAGCACAGCCCCACCACCGAGAGAAACUGGUUCUAGAUAUAUGUGACGCUACUGCAGACAGGUUAAGCUUCUAAAAAAACAUUUCCAGGCCUGCCAGGUAAACAAGCAGGAGAUGAGGGUAUGCUGAAUAGUUUCUUCUACCUGGUCACAGGGUGUGUUUGGUUCGUUUCAUGUACAAGCCUGACUAGCAAAACUAAGCCAGGCUAGCCCAAGCCUGCCCCUAGCAAGCCAAGACGGACUUGUUUGGUUGCAUGUACCAUCUAAGCCUGGCCAACAACUAGGUGUGUUUGGUUGUAUGAUUUACACUGCAUACAAUUACCUCUUCUCUAUUCUGGUGAGCUCACCCCCUCUUCAACAUUUCAUCAAACACUUGGGCCGCGGUGGACGUCUAGUGCAAGGUGGAGAUGCCAGCCUCGUCGUCGUGGUUCCUCAGCUUACUGGUGGAGCUAGAGCUGAGCCUCAAGGCCUCCCACGACCUCUUCAUGACUGACCACGCCAUCCUCCCUCUGCUGCGGCGCCGUGGCAGGAGCUCCCUGGCGAAGACAUCCCCUGCCUGUGCCAAAGAACGUGAGCAGGUUCCAUCCAUGUCUGUGCGCGCAUGCUCCCGUUCUCCUCCCAUCACUCGCUGCCAGUGGACGCCAUGGAGGAUGGAAAGGUCGCACUCACUGCAGAGUCAAAGACGAGAGGAUCUGGCGAGCUGGGUGAGCUAGGCGGAGAUGGAGGUCGCGACGAGCUGGAGCUUGGACCACACCUCCAUCCUGACGAGGCUAGAACUUGGCCGGAGAUGGUGCACAUGCAGCCUCGAUGAGACAUCCUCGACAGGGGUCGUGAGAUCCGGCGCGCAGGGAGGUCGAAGGGGCUCCGAUGGCAGGUGGCGAGGUCGAACGGGAUGACGGAGGUAUUCAGUGGGCGGGGAUGACGAAGGAACCGUGGCCCGAGAAGACAGGGUGCAGGCCACUGCUAGAACUGCCGUGACGGAGGACGAGCAGAGGACCGCCGCUGGUGGGCAGGAGCACGGGCGGACCUCCUCGGAGCUCACGUGGACCGCGGUGGGAAGGAGCAGAGGUGAGGAGAAUGAUGGAGGAGGUGAGGGGAACGAGCUCAUGGGCUGGCUCGAGCUUGGCUAGGAUUGAACGACCGAUUUGGUUGUUCUCCUAGAGCCAUGCUAAAGGGGUACGGAUGGCCAGCCCACACUAGGCCCCAGAGCCCUUAAAAGCCACCAAACAGACCAAAAUUGGCCCCAGGGAGCCAGGGCUGGGGCUGGGCUGGCCACCCAACCAAACACACCCAUAAGGGGCAGGCCGACGGAUGAGGCAUCUCUUGUUUGGCAGGACAGUCAACCGUCCAACAACGGUUAUCGAUGGUUAAACCAAAUGAAAAAUUUGCAUUUGAGAGGAGCCCAGCUUUUCCAAAUUCUUUUCCAUGGGGCAAACUUAGUCCCCAAGAACAAAGUUUGGUAGGCCGAGUUGCUGCUGAUGGAACGAGAAGAGGAGAGUUUCUAUCGGUGUUGAUCUGGGACAUCUUGCUGAAGGACCAGGCCAUCUACUAAGUCCCCUUUAUCCGAGUGAUACAAAGGAUUCACCAUGCCUACCGUAGAUGAGAAUGCUAGUAUCAAGGUAGGUGCUCGCACCACAUCACAAAUGAGAUAGCUUAGGAUGUCAACAUGAUUCAUUACUCACUAGACAUAACUCAGAUGUUCACAAAUCUAGCAAAUUAUACUAUGUGAAAGUAUUGUCAAGACACAACCAAGUUGGCAUGUCCAAUCAAGAUAUACGGAUUGGAAGGCUAUGAGUAAGGUAAGCAGGAACACCAACCCCACUGUUAUCCUUGGUUCUCCACUCAUGCUUAUUUUCUCAUUGACAUUGAACAUAAAUACAAUGAAGGGGAUUUGUGCUCUAAGUGUUUUGGUCAUAGGUGAUUAAGGGGGAAAUUGCUGUAAGGGGAGCUUCUGUGGGAUCUGGAAAAUUGGAAGACACCAAUUAUUUAUCUGGUCAGCAAACUACAUUUCACGAGCAGUUCAAAGUAUGCCUUAUAUUUCAUUUAGGGGGAUAGAACUGCACUAGAGUCUCCAGCACACAUAAAGACAAUUUACAGUUAGUGGGCUAGUUGGACAUUUUUUUAAUCUGCUAUGUAAUCAUACCAUAAUAAAUAACCUUCAAUCCAUAAUGCAAUCCACCGAUAAAGGAUACACAGGUACAGAGGAUGUGUAGUCAGCCAAAAGUACAAGAAAUCAGAAUUCAGAUCUACCAAGGAAGUGUAGUUCAGUAUGGAAUAACUAACUGGAGGCAGCAAAAGGAUCAACAAGAACUAGGACUACCUUGAGCUUGUGCUCCAACGAAUAAAUAUACAUGUGAUCUCUAUCAGCAGUUUGACACUCAUUACCUCAGCUUUGAUCAAUAUAGAUAAAAAAAGAAACUAAUAAUGCCACAGGCUUCACAUAAGUAAGAAAACAAACCUGCAUGGCACGCAUUGAUACCCCAACUAAGGAUAAAGGAUAGACUGCAAGCCUGAAACCAAUUUCUGCAAGUUCAGCAGGGCUCAAUAUGGGAGUUUUACCACCACCUUCUAACAUGUUUGCCUGAACAGAGUGUGAAUGUACUCAUGUGUCAUGUCACUGCUAUAGAAGGGGACAACUUGAAGCAAAUGUUAAAAAAGGCAAAUGGACUAGUCGUUGCCAUUGGUAACAAAAUAUGAGCAGUAAAUCUAAUUUGUACUGGCAUGCUUUCCAAUUCAGACUUGGGGAAUAUGAGAAAAUGGUAAUUGUGUAAGCAAACCGGUUCAUAAUCAUAUGCACUAAAGCUGAGUCCAAAUGGUGACAUUAUAGAUAACCUAGGGGAAUAUGAGAAAAUGGUAAUCGUGUAAGAAAACUGGUUCAUAAUCACACCACCCCAUUUCAUCACUACUAUCCCAUAUUUCAUCACUAUGCUAGGGAGACACUAUACUGUACGUUGACCCUAGCAUAGUUUCCAAGGAAUACAAAAAGUAUCUAGAAUCUAGCAAGGAAAUACCAAAACUGAACCAGCAAAAGUGGAUAUAACCAUGCAUAUAACAUUAGUUAACUGGUCCACAUUUUUUUUUCCAAGUGCAUCCAUUGGUGACUGGUAAAAACAAAUUUUCACUAGGAAACUGUAAGACAAUUUCCACAAGAAAAGUGUAAUCAAUUCUAAUUUAGAGAAUUAUAUUUUUUAUGUACGUGUGUCCUUUUGAUACCCUAGUCAAAUUCAUUGGAAAAAGGAUUUAAAGGUAUGACCAACAUGACCAGGAAAUGAGGACUGUUAUACUGAACUACAAUCUGGACGAAUGCAGAAACUACCAUAACACUUGGAUAUAACAAUUCAUGUGUAAUUAGAAAGCAACAAAAACAUAGAAUACAACUAACCAUCUUUGGAACUUCUGGUGCAACAGCACAAAAUGCUUUCAUCUCUUCUACUGAAGCAAGGGCAUCAAUAAACAGAACAUCUGCUCCAGCAUCAGCAAAUGCUUUCACCCUCCAUAAUGCUUCAUCAAGAGAAAUUGCUUGGCGAGCAUCUGACCUUGCUACAAUAACAAUGUCAGAGCCACUCUCCUUCCUAGCAUCUACAGCAGCUUUUAUGUGCAUGAUAGCUUCCUCCCUUGAUAUAACUUUCCUUCCUUCAGUAUGUCCACAUGCUUUAGGUGCCACCUUAAAAAUGUGGAAAGUCGUUUUUUUUUUCAGGAUAAACAAAAAGAUUAAUAUGAAACUGAAAGACUUCUUUCCAUAUUUACAUAUAACCUAAGUAAGCAGAUAUAAAAAGAAAUAGGCAAGUAUCAUAUUAUUGCAUCCUGAGAACAUAGAAUAAAACAAGUUAACUGCAUUACUUUUUUUGUUGGGCAAUAGCAGGGAGUAAAUAUCCAAAAACACAUUAUUUCAAAUAGUGUCAGAUAAAUAUGGCAAAGACCACCCGAGCUAUUUAAGUUAGUUAUAGAGUCAAAAUAGAUAAUGAUUGUGUUGCAACCAUAUGAUAUCUGCUUUAAUUCUCUUAGAUUUUUAUUACACCAAGUCCAAUGCAAAACUUCAAUUGCAACAUUUUUUAGAAUACAACAAAGAUAAUCUGAUCAAGAGAUUGAACGUUUGUGCAUAUGCAUAGCAGUUGCAUUUUUUCAAUUAGGCUAAUGCAACAUUAGAAAGGGAUCCAGUGAGACUAAAUUUGAAGGGAGCUUACAUUUAAAAUAGGAUAAUGACAGAGCAAUGUCAAUCACUGUACCAUGUACUGGAUCGAGACGAGGCUGUUGGCCACCAACAUCUUCCAACAGUAACAUGCAUGCCUUCUUUAUAGAUAAAAUAAAAUAAAUAAAGACUAGUUUAUCAAUGACUGAACCUAAGCCGGCCAUUCCUGUGUAGCCACAAGCGCAGCAAGGAAAGAAAAACAGCUUCCAGAAAAGAAAAAAAAAAAUGUCUCUCCAUGAAAGCUACCACAUCAGCAGCCCACUAGUGCAUGCAAUUAUGACAUAAAUCUAUUCAUACAAGCUAUUCAUGUCAACAAGCAGCGUUAUCCACUAACAUGCAUUUAUUUGUCCACAUCAGCAUACCACACCAUCCACUAAAAUUUAUUUAUAAAUCAUCUGUGAUCCCCGCACAACACGCGGAAUAUCCUUCUAGUGUUUAUCAUUUGUGAGAAAAAGUAGAUUUUGAAAUAUAUACAUAUGAAAUAGGUAUUAAAAUGAGUUCAAAGGAGUUCGAAUGAGCACCAGAAAGGGCAAAAAAAAAAAUCUUAUAAAAAAAUACUUACUAGUGUUGUUGGUAACACCAGUUAUGGGUAUUAAAUGCCAAAUCUUUUUUCCCCUGUUACUCCGUUAGCCACUACAGAAAACAUAUCUUCAUGGCAUAUAGGCAAUCUUUAUUGGUCUGCAAUCUAUAAUAUACAAAAUGGGUCCAGUGACUAAUAUGAUAAUACACUUUCUCCAAGUUGAAGAAUGGCACCUGCUAGUUAUAUACCCUUCAUAUAAUAUCCUCAAGGGGCAUCCUAAUCCUAGCCACCAAUUGGUCUUCAGCAGGGGGUAUUCAUAUUACUUAUGGAAACAUGGUUGCAGGACGUAUGCACGAUACUCAGGAAACUGUCUUUAGUUGAAGAAGCAGACAAGGCAACUAAUUCCAAUUAACCAAGAAACCAUAAGGUUAACUGUAAGAAGAAUUCGCUUGUAGUGUAAUGUGUCUUAUUUGUCGGAACUAUGAACAGUAAUCAUCAAGACAAGUGGAGCUGGUAAUCUGUGCAAGGAUGAAUUGCAAUGACUUGGACAACACACCUGAUCCUCAAGCAUAAUUCCAGCAAAACCAGCAUUGAUAUACCCUUUUAUGGUUCUCUUGAUAUUCAUAGAGUUUCCAUAACCAUUGUCUCCAUCACCAAUCACUGGGAUUGAAACAGCUUCAUUGAUGAGACACCCUUGGUCUAUCAUUUCUCCAUAGGAAAUGAGGCCGACAUCAGGCAAGCCAAGUCGAGCGGCAGAAACACAGAAACCUGAAAAGAUAAGAAGACUCCAUUGUAUGAGAUAACUUGAAUAUCUCCAGAAGGUUUCUUUUGGACAAGCACGGCAAGCAAAAUCUUGAAUGCGGUUAUUUCUAAGCCCUAUAAGCAACAACAGAACAAUUUCCAUAAUAGCGCCUGUCAUAGACUAAAUUUGCAUGAAGAAAUGCUGGCCAGCUGAACUACAUUCCACAGUUCUAAUCAAACCAUUUUACCUUUCCAAACGGAAACAUUCAAACACCAUAGCAGCACGUAGUCAGAAAAAUAACCACAGAACAUAUGUAGCCCAAGACAGGAUGAUUGUCAAUAUCAUAACCUUCCUCUUGAAGUUGAAAUUUUACUUCCAAUGACGCAUGCAGUUCAAUUCAAUUUUAAAACAUCGUGAAGAAGUUGUGAGUUUGCUUGGUUUUAGCAACAGAUUUAAGGAUAGUUCCUCCCUACACUUUGUGUGACUUUCAUCGGUAGAAAAGCACACGAUAUGAAUUGGGAUUCAGUAAAUCUGCUCCGAUUGGAACUAUACAACGUGAAGCCUAACGAUUAGUAUCUCGGCACUCUCAAACAAGCAGAGUAAAACCUCAUCGAGAAAACGAGGGAACGACGAUCGACAUCACACAGAAACAGACAAGAACGCAUAUAACGGAAGCGCACGCACCGCCCAUGAACCCAAUCUGGAACCCCGCACGCUCGACGAGGCGCGCGCCGAGCGCGUCGUAGCAGCAGGGCGCCUGGUGCGCACCGGGCGUCGCGAGGAUCCGGCGGAGCGCCGCGGCCGGGGACUCCCCCGAGCGGAUGCCGCGGGAGGACUCCUCCACGGCGAAGUAGGGGCAGCGCGCAGCCAUCCCGGCGGUGGUGGCGGAGGAAGCGGAAGCGCGGCGAGCGGAGGGCGGAGGCUGGAGAGGGAUGGGAUCGGAAAGUUGUGCUGUGGGGGUGUGAGUGUGAAUGUGACCGACUUGGCGUCUACUGUACUUGAGACUUGAGAGCUGCGUCAACCUGCAAGUCAGUCCGUUAUGGGGUGGGUCACGUCUAUUCCGUGAGAUUGUGAUGUGUGGCUUUUUCGGUUUAGCCCGUUUGGCACGGCCGAGUUUUGCUAUUUACGAGCAGUUUUUUCCGUAAAAAUAAACUAUUUUAUAAAAAUCAUUUGACAAAAUAGCUUCGUUAACUACUUCAUUCAUAAUUAAGAGAGAAAUGAUAAAAAGAUAUGUAAAAAGCUAUUUUUUUUAAUUCAUCUCUCUUUCACCCUAUAUUCAGCAUACUUUUCACAACAACUAUAUUUUUCUCUUACAAUAAAUCAACGUCUGCCAAAUUUCAACGACCCAAACUAAAAGGAGCUUCAUCUAUAAAGUUAUUUUAAAAAAGAGUGUUCAGCAUAAAAAAAUAGCUCGCAAUAACUCAUAAAGCUAUUGCUAAUGUCAAAUAGGGCCUUAAGCAUAAUAACAUUAUAUUCUUAAAAAAAGCAUAAUACCAUUAUAAAAUAUUCUUAAAAAUUAUACAAAUUAUAAUGAUGGUUUCCUUAAUAAAUUUACAACUAGUUUAUACCAUUGUACGAUUGGAGAAGGAAACGGGGGCUCUCAAGACUAUUAUAACUUUAAGUGAGCUAUCAGCUUAUUAUUGUUGUUGUGUUUGAGAUCUAUCCUCACAAUAUCCUACUAGUAUUAUUGUGUUGGUCUCUUUAUCCAUCGUCAUUGUUCUUUUUAUCCAGCGUUUGGUUUGCGGAUGGACAGAGCCUGGCUCACAUGCCACGGACAGGCCCGCUGUGGGCAGGCUCCAUGGGUGCCAGAGCUGCUUGAUUGGUCGUCGUGCCCUUUCAGCCAGGUCUACAAGAGAAGGUGAUUGGUUGGCUUGACGGAGGUCCUCGUCCUGCAUGCUGCUCUCUCAUCUGAUCCAAGAGUCCGUCCCUCUCGCACUGUCCUAGCCUGGCUAGACAGAAACGAAGAAAAUCUGCGUAUGAGUAAAGUCAGGCCCUAUCACUUCUGGAAUGCCCGCCCUAAAACAGGUGGCAAAGGCUUUACCGACUGUUUUACAUGUGGCGGUCAGCAAAGAACACGUCGCAAAGAAUUCAUCGGCAAAAAACCUUUGCUGCCAGCCAAGUGGAAAGCAGUCGGCAAAGCCUUUGCCACCUAUCAACAUGACAGUCGACAAAGGAGAUGUACGUCGUCACCUAUCAACAUGACAGUCGGCAAAGAAGAUGUACGUCGUUGUGAGAUGACGGAGCGCAUUCCGUUUGCCUACUGCCACGCGGUAGUCGGCAAAGGCUUUUUUUAAUUUUUUUAUAACUAAAUUUCUUUGUCGACUGUCUUGAUGAGCAGAUGGCAAAGGCUGUUUUAAUUUUUUUUUCAGAACGGAAAUUCUUUGCCGACUGUCUUUAUUGGCAGGUGGCAAAGCUGUCAUGGUUCAUAAGAUUCCAGCUUUGCUACCUGUUUUCCACGUGGCAGGUGGCAAAGCUAGAAUAAGUAAAAUUUUGGUAUGUUUUUUCUGUUUUGCAUCACAACAAUCAAAUCACAAAUAUGAUUAUAUAACUGGAAUUCACAUAUAUCACAUAGAUCUACAUAUAUAUCACACAAAUCCACAUAUAUAGCACACAUAAAACCAUAACAAAGGAGUCCAACAAGUCCAUCAUCCAACAAAUCGUACUAAUCGAGCAUCCAACAUGAAACAUCCAACAUGGUAUGCAAAACCAACAUCAAACGUCCUGCAAAGUAGAAGAACCACAUAGCCAGUCACGCGUCCUGCGACCCGUCGCCACUGUGGUGUGAAGAGCUCCUAGCUGGCCACAAAGGCCACGAGGACGGUCCAACCUGCGGCACGUUGCUGUACACCCACCCAGAUCUGAUCUGCUGGGUAGGCGGAGGGUCGCUAGCACACCCGAAGGCCCCCUCCUGCGUAGGCCUAGGAGGAACGCCACCUGGUCCCACCUGGCCUGGAGAAAGGCCAUGUGGAGUCGGGUUUGAACCCGCCGAUAGUGGCUGCACAGAGGAGAAGUGAUCCCAUUAGUACCUGCGGGAUGGCCGUACAAGCGAAAACAUAAGACAGACUGCUAGAAACUCACCGGAGUCCCUAAAGGGCUAGGAACAGGGGUGGAGCGAGAACAAGGUGUGGAGCGAAGAUCACGAGAGGCAACGGAGGACAUCUGAAACCAGGGAUCUCUAGGCCCUAAAAGAAGCUGGCAAACUCUUUCAUCUGAUGCAUCGAGUGCUUCUGGAUAGCCUCCAACUGCCGCCGAUGGGCCUCUUGCUGGGCCACCAGCUGCUGCCGAUGGGCCUCCUCUUAGGCCGCCUGUUGGGCCCGCAACUCGGCCAGCUGAGACUACAAUAUUACACCAGUGAUGUUUAAACAACGCAUAAGGAAAGCUACAUAUGUAAAACCAAUGAACAACGAAUAGUUACCUGAACCGCCACCAUCAUCUACGUAGAGCUUGGCUGCCGAGGUUGUAUGGGGACGUCCGAGGAGGUCGUGAUGUCCGAUCGACGAACCUCACGAAGGGUGGGAAUGGUGGCAGGGUCGAUUGUGUCGUGUGCAAGAAAGUACCAGCUGUGCUGCUUCCCUCCUCCCGUCCUCAUCAGGACAUCCGUGUCAAGGGGCUCGGUGGCCGGAUCGUAUGCCUCACUAUGGCGCUUGUGAACUGCCUCGGUGUACUAGACGACCUUCUCGUAGGCGUUCAGGUUCGUGAAUGCGUCGGCCCCCUUCGCCGGGUCAUAGACGUUGUCCAGAUCUAUCGCUUUGCCCUGGUGAGACAGGACAUAGCCCGUGAACUCGUUGAUCACCUGGCCACCAUGCGACUGGGUCUACAAGGAAAACACAAGAACGAUUACACGUAAUGAGAAUAAAUAAAUAAAUAAAUAAAUAAACAAAUCAGUGUGAAGGAUACCCAUGUGUCUAUGUACGCUCCGAGGGGGCGGCUCUCUUGGUGGUGUGCCGGCCCUGUCCAUCCCUUGGCAUGUCCGGAUUUCUCACUGCGCUUCACGUACGCCUUAGGCGUUGUCCAUGAGUCCACAAUCGCCUCCCAGCAGUCCAUGUGCAUUUUGCACCAAUCAGUAGGAUACUGUAGAACAACGUGCAUUUGGGUGAGUAACAAGAUGAAUUAGAAUAGAAUCAAAAUUAAUGUUUCCUACUUACCUGGAUGUAGAUCUCCCUGGGGAGGUCAGUUUCGAGCAAGAGGAUCAUCGCCCUGGCUUGCGACUUCGACAGCGACUGGCCAAACACCUCGGCGUGGUAGUUGAUAAGGACCUAGAGGUGCGCCUCGUAGUACAUGUCCUUCAGUCUCUCCAUGCAGACCUUGUCCUGCACUUGUGCCCCCUCGAUCUCGUGCCCUGGCUCGCACGUGUACCACUCCUGCAUACAGAUAUCAUGUAUCAUUUCAUUAUUUCAACUACAUCCAACAAAUGCAUUCACAUUGUCAUGGUCGGGCGCACCUACGCCAGGCGCCAAAGGACGUGUGACGUGCGUCGUGACCAGAAACGCGCGGAGCGCGCGGGCUAGGACGCAAAGGGCGCCCCCUCGGUUGGGGCCUGAGAGUCCCCCUCGGUUGGGGCUGAGAGUAUCUUAGGUGAUAAAUAAAUUAGAUAUAUUUCUAUUAUUAGUUCCUAAAUUAGUGGAGCUUGUUGCUCCUUUCGGUUGGUCCAAAGGCUAUAUAUUCUGUACCUACUACCGCAUGGAGGUUAAGAAAGAAUUAUCAAUCUAAUCUUCCCCCCUACCCUUCAACUAAGCCUGCGGCCAGGUUAUCCUUGCCAGAGAAGACGACGGACCGAGGCUACGAGUUACGUAGCCGAGGGCCUAACACCCUUGACAACCUGGUAUCUAGAUCCAGGUGAUCCUCUUCGUCCUCUUCCACCUCAACCCCAGCCACAACCAGCCCCCCACCAUCCCCCACCGAAGCCCUAAACCCCACCUCCGCUUCCUCGACGACCUCUUCGCCUUCCGCCAUGGGUGAUGUUGAUCAGCUCCAGGCUCUCACUGAAGCCGUCAAGGCGCUGCAAGCCACGGUGGAGGCCAACGCCAAGGCCAUUGCCUCUCUCACGUCGGAACGUACGUGGUCUUUAGGAUCCAAGGCGCCGGCCGACGAACAUCACAAUGAUCGGCCACCAAAGUUCCAGAAGAUGGAUUUCCCGAAGUAUGAUGGUACGAAGGACCCCCUCAUCUUCAUCAAUCGGUGUGAAUCAUAUUUCCAUCAACAGAGAAUCAUGGAGGAGGAAAAAAUGUGGAUGGCUUCCUAUAACCUUGACGAUGAGGCGCAACUCUGGUAUAUGUAGGUGCAGACGGACGAGGGCACGCCGUCGUGGCGCUGUUUCACGGACUCCUCAAUCUGCGUUUUGGACCACCCAUCCGGUCCGCUCCACUCUUCGAGCUCGCUGAUUGUCGCCGCACUAGGUCGGUGGCGGACUACCAGGCGCUGCUCCCGCGCGCCGGUCACCUAGACGAAGCCCAGUGUGUCCAGCUGUUCACGGGCGGCCUUCUUCCACCGCUCAGCUUGGACAUCUAAGUCCACAACCCGUAGUCCCUCGCGGCGGCCAUGAGUUUAGCCCGGCAGCUCGAGCUGUGGGAGCAAUACGUGGCCGCCCCAGCCGAGGCUCUAGUACGCGGUCUGCUACCUGCGCCGCCACCACGCCUGGCCCUCCCUACACCUCCGGCUACCAAGGCGGACGCCCUUGGUGCAGCCAUCGCUGAUCGGCCGGCCGCCAAGCGCCUAUCCAAGUAGGAGCAGGAGGAACGCUGCCGCCUCGGCCUCUGCUUCAACUGCAACGAGCGCUACAUGCGUGGCCAUAACCGCGUCUGUAAGCGGAUAUUCUUCAUCGGCGGCGUCGACCUCGCGGGCACCGACGAGGCUGGGGAUGACGAGACGCCGGAGACUGAGACCCCAGUCUUCUCCUUGCAUGCCGUGGCUGGGGUGCCCCUAGGCCACACGAUACAACUCAAGGUGCUCCUGGCCGCCAGCUCCUUUGUCGCCCUCGUCGACAUGGGCUCCACCCAUAGCUUCAUCGGGGAGGAGGCUGCGCGGCGCAUCGGGCUGCCCAUCGAGCCGUGCCCCCAUAUGAUGGCGACCGUGGCGAACGGUGAGCGUGUCUCGUGCCCCGGCGUGAUCCGCCAGGCCCCUGUGCUCAUCGACGGCUCGGAGUACUUCGUCGACCUCUUCGUGAUGCCCUUGGCCAGAUAUGACGUGGUUCUGGGCACUCACUGGAUGGCCACAUAGGGCCCAUCGUCUGGGACCUCGCGGCAUAGGCCAUGGCCUUCCAGUAGGACGACCGCAUGAUCCGCUGGCACGGCGUGGCUCCACCGUCUGCUCCAAGCCUCCACACCGCCAUGACAGACGACUCGCUCCUCGACGGGUUGUUGAGCUCCUUCGACAACGUCUUCGCCGAACCACGGGGGCUUCCACCUGUGCACGCUCGGGACCACCACAUCAUCCUCAAGCCCGACGUCACGCCAGUGGUAGUGCGUUCGUACCGGUACCCUGUGGCGCACAAAGUCGAACUAGAGAGGCAGUGUGCGGCAAUGAUCGAGCAGGGCAUCGUCCGCCGCAGUGACUCCGUGUUCUCCUCCCUCGUGCUCCUCGUCAAGAAGCCAGAUGCGACAUGGAGGUUCUGCAUCGACUACCGCGCCUUGAAUGCCCUCACGGUGAAGGAUGCCUAUCCUAUACCGGUGGUCGACGAGCUCCACGGUGCCCGCUUCUUCACCAAACUGGACCUGCGUUCAGGGUACCACUAGGUUCACAUGAGGCCGGCAGAUAUCCAUAAGACGGCGUUCCGCACUCAUGACAGACUCUACGAGUUCUUGGUCAUGUUGUUUGGUCUCUGUAACACCCCGGCCAUGUUCCAGGCUCUGAUGAAUGAUGUGCUUUGGCCAUACCUUCGCCGCUUUGUUAUUGUUUUCUUUGAUGACAUACUAAUCUACAGCAAGUCCUGGGCUGAGCAUCUUCGGCACCUUCGCGUCGUCCUCACCGAACUGCAUCGCCAUCGCCUCUUCAUCAAGCGCCAAGUGCGCUUUCGCCGUCAACUCCGUCUCCUACCUCGGCCACGUCAUAUCAGAGGCAGGCGUCGCCAUGGACCCGGCCAAGGUCCAAGCUGUUCGUGAGUGGCCGGUUCCUCGUUCGGCGCAUGCUGUAUGCGGUUUUCUUGGGCUGGCGGGCUACUACCGCAAAUUCAUCCACAACUACAGCUCCGUCACGGCACCUCUUACCGCUCUCCUCAAGAAGGACGGCUUCUCUUGGGGCGAGCAGGCUGCGGCGGCUUUCGAGGCUCUCAAGACCGCAGUCACCACGACGCCUAUCCUCGCCAUGCCAGACAUCACCAAGGUGUUUGUGGUGGAGUGCGACGCUUCGUCCCACGGCUUCGGGGCAGUGCUCGUACAGGAGGGGCACCCAGUGGCGUUCUUUAGCCGCCUAGUAGCCCCUCGUCACCACGCUCUCGCUGCAUAUGAGCACGAACUUAUUGGCUUGGUCCAGGUGGUACGUCACUGGAGGCCAUACUUAUGGGGUCCUCGCUUCACCGUCGAAACUGACCACUAUAGCCCGAAGUAUUUGCUCGAUCAGCGCUUGGCCACCAUCCCACAACAUCAUUAGGUGGGGAAGCUAUUGGGCUUUGAUUUUCAGGUGGAGUACAAGCCGGGCGCAGCGAACGCCAUCGCGGACGCACUGUCCCGCUGCGACACGGCUAACGGGGCGCUGCUCACCCUCUCGGCCCCGUGUUUCGACUUCCUCGACCGACUCCGUCAAGCACAAGCCACCGACCCUGCUCUUGUGGCUCUACGUGAUGACAUCGCCACCGGCUCUCGUGGACUGCCAUGGGCCACAGUGGACGACAUUGUCCAGUUUGCUGGGCGCCUGUUGUUGGGUAUUUUAAACGCAAACAGAAAAAUCCGCAAGCGCACGGAUACCGAUGUAGCUUUCACCCGGGAGUAUUCCAGAGUAUCGAUUUUCCACAGGGAACGUGAGUGUACUAAUUAAGAUCCAAGAUCGCCCAAGGAUAACUAUAUAAUUAUUUUUGGUGGGAAGAGAGGAAGUUUCCUGAGAGUUCUCUAGUUGAUCUAAGAAUCAAGAAUUACUUCAAGAUUAUCUAUAUCGGGACAUCAGAGCACUAACCACGGAAAGAGAUGAGAAGGGGGCUAGGAAGGUCUGACUACGGUCCUACAAACACCGAUCCGAACAUGGUGGAAUACGUCGACCGUUAGGGCUGUCACUACCCUAGGGCUACCACAACAAUCCGCAGGAUUGGGUGCAAUUCCAAGUAAUUGCAAGACUAAACACCACGUCUAAUCUAUUAAUUACUACUCUAGCGUUAUAAAGACUAGAGCACUUGAUGCAAGCGGGAAUCCAAUAAGUAACUUGAAUGUAAAUAAAUGUAAUUAAAGAACUCAGGAAUUAUGAAUUGAAGAACCUGGAGAACGAUGAAGAACGAACUAGAUGCUGCAAAAGUAUAAUGUUGAGGAAGAUCCGACAGAUCCGGCUCCUCCUCCGCUCUCCUCUUCUCUCUCCCUAUUUUCUAGAUUACAACUAGAACUAACUAGAACUAGAACUAGAGGAACUAGAACUAGAACUAGAUGAACUAGAACUAGAUCUAGAUGAACUAGAGGUAUCCUCUCUACUUGGAUGAAGAAUUGAAACCCUAGCUUUGAUUCUGUAGAAGAGGUAUGCCUCCAGGGGCUGGUGGGGGUCUGCUUAUAUAGUCCAGGAAGAGUAGCCCCCAAGAAAUCUAGGAAGAGUAGCCCCCAAGAAAUCUAGGAAGAGUAGCUCCCAAGGAAUUUCCACGUUAUUCUCCAUCAUCCGAUCAAACCGACCUUCAUCGUGUGAUUUUCCUCGAUCCUUAGAGUCGGUGGGGCAUAAUCCCCGAGACUCGUGCUGAUUGGCCAGCAGAGCAGGGCGGGCGCCCAGGGGGGUAGGGCGGGCGCCCUGCCUCCGGGCCCGCUCGGCCUCCCGUUCGUUCCCGUGGCUUCUGGAGUCUUCUAGAUGAUAGAAAAUUGCGCGGCACGUUAAUAUCUCUAUGUAAUCCCGACGUGUGGGCCUUUCUUCCGUAUUUCCUGAUAACCCCCUGCAGAAAUAGACAAACACCAAAACUCAUGGAAUUCUGUCAGAUAAAACCCUAAGUCUGGGUGUUGGUUGCAUUUGGAUCCUUUUCCAUGAUUAAUUGAUGGUUAAAUAUGAGCAUUAAGGACCGUCAACAAGCUCCCCCAAGCUUAACCUUUGCUCGUCCCUGAGCAAAGCUAAAAUCAACAAGAAAACAGGGGUUACUUCUAUGCCUCUUACUACAGUGUUUUUAAGUUAUCACUAAGGUCUUAAGUGAUUGAAAAACAGAAUGAUCAAGUCAAGCACUAUGUCUCAAGUUCUUCUGUCUUACCUUUGUUCUGGAGUUUUUUUUAUAAGUCUGCAAAAUAAAACCGAGGCAUUUGCCUUCUUCUCGAAAGAUAUAUAUAAGUAGAGCUUUAAAAGUUUUAGCAUACUUACUUUGUAUUUUGCUAUGUCAACGCUCGGAGUAAGGGAGAGGAAUGUCAUACUCCUAGAUCAAGACCUUUGACCUUUUUGAAAAGUUUGUCAUCUCUUACUGGCAUAUUGCUUAUUAGAGGGACCAUGGGCUAUCUCUUUUUUUUUCAGUCUCUCUUUUUUUUUUCAAGUGGGCAGCAAGUACCCCUAAUUCUACUGUCGGACACAUGUCCAUUUUUUUUCACUCAGGUGGGUAUCUUUGUACCCCUAAUUCUACUUCGGACACUUGUCCAUUUUUACCUCUCGUCUCACUUUUUUUUUUGAAUCAAAUUUUUGCAUAGUCCCAUGCCUCUAACACAAUAAUACUUCGGAAGAGUGAAUCUUUUAUAUUUUUAAAACAAAAAGAUCUUGAUCUUGGGAGCAUGAUAAUUCUCUCAACCAAAACUACAAGAAUUAACAAUGGCUUGAACAAAGCAAGUGCCCAUAGUUUUAAUAUUUAUAUCUUAUAAGACUCUAGGUAUUAUGAUCUCAUAUAUUUUUUAUGAAUUUUUAGAUUUUCAAAAGAUAAAAUCUCCAGAACUCUAGCAAAACUUGGAACAAGUUAAAUAGUAGCUCAGACCUUCUCAUAUCAUGUUUGUCAAUUACCUAGACUUGAAUCAAACUUUUUUUUUAUUUUUAUUUAAAACUUAGGAUUACACAAAACUAUUGUAUAUUACUCAAAAGAAAAACUUUGUUUGGUUUCAUGGUUAUGUAUUUUUAUUUAUUUAUUUAUUUCCGAAUACUAGAAAAUAAAACCAAAGGAAGAAAAGUAAUACUUAUCUAGAUACACGUGGGGGUGCCUCGCCCAAGCUGGAUUUUGACAUAAUUCCUUUUGAUGUAGCUAGCAGGUGGCGGAGGUGUAUUUGAAUGUCGGCAGCACUCUGACAGUGAUUAGGAUGUCCUCCGUCUGCUAGUCUUCUUUGAUCCUUGAAUUCUGUGGAGCUCAAAUAGACAUCAAAGCUUUGUGGAACUAGUUAAGUGUUAGCAUAAAUAUCUAGCCUUUAUCAUGUUGAGCCUCCUCAAUAAAUGUUACUCUCUUUAGUAGGAUCAUAAAUCUAUUUUUAUAUUUUCGUUUUUAUAGGACGGGAAUAUAUUUAUUUUAUUUUUAUGCCACCACAGUGAAUGUACUUAUGGGUUUUAUGCCAUGAGCAUACUCACAUGGGGCUUACUAUUUUUAACAUUUUUAUUUUCUUUUCAAGAUGAUAUGAACCUGAUUAACUAAGCAAACUAUUUUAAAUAAUUGAAAGGGAAAAAGAUAACUACCAAGUUUACCUCUUGGCAAGGCGUUCGGUGUUUUUAAAUCCUCCGAACGGGACUCUCCAUAUUCUCAGUCGUCCUGGGAUUCGCUGGAUGGCGUAGUCGGUGGUUCCGGCGGCGCCUGCUCUUCAUGUAUAACUAUCUUCUUUCUCCACGCCUGACUCGGUGCACGUCUCCUACGUAGUCCGCCCAUCCAUCCUUGAUGAUUUUCCUCCUCAGGUUGCGCUUGUGUCGUCUUCUUCUUGUCCUGACCUGCUUAGAGUUUGUCUUCUCCCAUGUCAAUAACCUUAAAAUCAUCUAGAGCUGAAUGUAUGUUGGUUGUAGGGAUAUGGUUCCAUGUAGGAGGUGCUAAGUGACUGCGGCCAUUAUGUUGACGUUAGAUCCGGUGUCGUAGAGUGUCUUCUAAAAAGAAUAUCCGUUGAUUGUGCACUUGAUGCUUGGAACACCAGGGUCGUCCUUCUUGAUCAAGAAAGGUGACUUGAGUUGACGAUCUUGACCUCCUUGAGCUGCAGUGACCAUCUUAGCUGACUCGGUACACAUUUGCUUAUUCUUGUUCCUCCUGUUGGUCCUCUUCCUUAGUUCAUGUCGGGAUUGCUUUGAGAUUUGUGUAGUCUUGUUUCUUGAAGGAAAACGUCUCCUUCCUUCCCUUUAUGUAGAAACUGAUCUUGGCAGCACUAGCGUAGAUGACAGCUCCCGAGGUGUUCAGAAAUGGCCUCCCUAUGAUGAUGGGCGCCCUCUCAUCAGUACCAGUCUCUAUCACCACGAAGUCUGCUGGAGCGUAUAAGGUACCAACUCGGACGUAGAGUUUCUUCAAUAUUCUCCUGAGCAUAAUGUUGACGCUGGAGCCAAAGUCGCAGAGUGCUUCUGGGAAGUCCACCAUGCCGAUGGAGAUCGGGAUGAUGGGGCGUCCUGUGUUGUCUCUCUUGACCGGCAGAAGGUCAGUAAUUACUUCCACAAUGGGGUUACUCCAGUAGUUAUGUCCUCAAGCAUCUCAGGGCAGUGAUUGCUUGAGUGUCCAGUAUCUCCAUUGUGUAUGUGCUCGUAGAUCUAGGUUCUUCACUUGGUGGAGUCUGGGAGUUGUAAAAGUCCUUCAUAUUUUGCUCGAAGUGUACCUGCUCAUAGACAAGGCAGAGAUCAAGUGCAUGGGCCCUGUUGGUGGAAAACACCAACAGAACCAAAAGUGUAUUUGUUCUUCUCUAACCUUUAGCAUAGUGAGCGAGACAAAGUUGAUGGAUAAUAAGAUCAUGAGUAUAACAUUUAAAACAUUUGUCAGAUCAAAUCGCUCAACCUAAUGGAAAGAUAAUCUAUCUAUAUUUAUGUUGUUUUUUUAUAUAUAUCUUCCAAAGAUUGAGUGUGCAACUUUUUAGCUCAUAUGGUUAGGAGUGUGGGAUCACAAAGGUGGAAGGACUAAACAUGUUGAAUCGAUUGGGUUGGUUAAUCUAGAGUUGUAAAUCAUACAUGUUUGUCUCUUUUAUUUAUGUGAACGCCAGAAAUAAGGAGAAGCUUAUAAAAGUGAUAGUCAAGUACCUUGAGAUGUUACCUUACUUGAAAGAGUGAUGGUGCAGUAUCACCUUGUGGAAGCUUUCCUUUCUUAGUGGUUGUGCAUCGUGUUUGUGGCACCCUCCAUGGAUCAUCUCUUGUGAGCUAUGCCUUCCUUGUGUAAAUUGUUAAACUUCAUGCGUCUCUCUCUUUGUCUCUAAUGUGAGUUUAUCUCGGGACUUCCCAGGUCGAUAUUGAAAGUUUUCCUACAGGGGUUAGUCCAACAAAAUAUCCAAUAUCUACUAUAGCAUACUAUCGGCUCAAAAAUCAACCUAGACACCAUGUCUAAUUUGAUUUAGGAGGGCAUUUUAACCUAAGCAUCAUGCUUGAUUUAAAAACCCUUCGGAAGUAAGAUCAUCAUUCCUAAACUAAGCACCAUGCUUAAUUAAGAGAUAAAUGAAACUACUCCAAACCUAAACAUAUACUAAAGCAAAUAAAGGUAGCAUGAGAGCAUUUAUAGAGAUCUACUCAAGUGGAGAUGAAGUAGUGUGAUUAGUAUUUAACAAAUUGAGCAUGUCUCAAAGGUACAGACAACCAACAUAUCAACAUGGCAAAGAAUGUUUUUAUGUAAAGUACUCCCCCAAGCUUGAAUUUUGUAAAAUUCAAGUUUGGAUGAAUUUAAUUCAAUGUUGUAUGAUGAUUGGUUGGACAUACCUUGUGUUUGUCAUUCAUCCAAUCUUCUUGCUCCAAUCCUGGAAAGGUUAGUGACAAGAAUAUCCGAAGGAAUAGUUUUACAAUUAUCCUUAUAUGCUCAACACAAAAGGUAAUAUUGCAAAUAAUUAAAAGCUCAUGUUAUGAUCUGAUCAAUGCUUGUUUUAGGACACUAAGCUUGUCCUUGGGAAACCAUCAAUUUAUGUCAGUGAAGUGGUUUCCCCUCCAACGCUGACCUAUAUCAAGAUCAACUCAACGAGAUCUGCAAAAUUUAUUAUAGACAUAUGCAUCGACAACCGCCCUUUUAAAGUUUUUAUAAAUAGAAAGGAAGAGGAGGUUGGAGAUCUCGAAUGUGGUGAUGUUGAAGAGACCAAUGGAUUGUGAAGAUGUUGCAUAUGAGCAUGGAGUAAAUGAAGUGGCUAUGAAAUAAAUUCCAUGCUCAUUAAUGCUUAGAGUGAAAUCCAUGUGGUAUGGUGAAAAUGAUAAGGUGAGUGUGGUAUAAAAGGAAAAGAAAAAGGAUACACGGACGACUUGGUUCGAAACUAGCACAGCUACCGUUCCCCGGCAACGGCGCCAGAAAGCUUGUUGGGUAUUUUAAACGCAAACAGAAAAAUCCGCAAGCGCACGGAUACCGAUGUAGCUUUCACCCGGGAGUAUUCCAGAGUAUCGAUUUUCCACAGGGAACGUGAGUGUACUAAUUAAGAUCCAAGAUCGCCCAAGGAUAACUAUAUAAUAAUUUUUGGUGGGAAGAGAGGAAGUUUCAUGAGAGUUCUCUAGUUGAUCUAAGAAUCAAGAAUUACUUCAAGAUUAUCUAUAUCGGGACAUCAGAGCACUAACCACGGAAAGAGAUGAGAAGGGGGCUAGGAAGGUCUGACUACGGUCCUACAAACACCGAUCCGAACGUGGUGGAAUACGUCGACCGUUAGGGCUGUCACUACCCUAGGGCUACCACAACAAUCCGCAGGAUUGGGUGCAAUUCCAGGUAAUUGCAAGACUAAACACCACGUCUAAUCUAUUAAUUACUACUCUAGCGUUAUAAAGACUAGAGCACUUGAUGCAAGCGGGAAUCCAAUAAAUAACUUGAAUGUAAAUAAAUGUAAUUAAAGAACUCAGGAAUUAUGAAUUGAAGAACCUGGAGAACGAUGAAGAACGAACUAGAUGCUGCAAAAGUAUAAUGUUGAGGAAGAUCCGACAGAUCCGGCUCCUCCUCCGCUCUCCUCUUCUCUCUCCCUAUUUUCUAGAUUACAACUAGAACUAACUAGAACUAGAAUUAGAGGAACUAGAACUAGAACUAGAUGAACUAGAACUAGAUCUAGAUGAACUAGAGGUAUCCUCUCUACUUGGAUGAAGAAUUGAAACCCUAGCUUUGAUUCUGUAGAAGAGGUAUGCCUCCAGGGGCUGGUGGGGGUCUGCUUAUAUAGUCCAGGAAGAGUAGCCCCCAAGAAAUCUAGGAAGAGUAGCCCCCAAGAAAUCUAGGAAGAGUAGCUCCCAAGGAAUUUCCACGUUAUUCUCCAUCAUCCGAUCAAACCGACCUUCAUCGUGUGAUUUUCCUCGAUCCUUAGAGUCGGUGGGGCAUAAUCCCCGAGACUCGUGCUGAUUGGCCAGCAGAGCAGGGCGGGCGCCCAGGGGGGUAGGGCGGGCGCCCUGCCUCCGGGCCCGCUCGGCCUCCCGUUCGUUCCCGUGGCUUCUAGAGUCUUCUAGAUGAUAGAAAAUUGCGCGGCACGUUAAUAUCUCUAUGUAAUCCCGACGUGUGGGCCUUUCUUCCGUAUUUCCUGAUAACCCCCUACAGAAAUAGACAAACACCAAAACUCAUGGAAUUCUGUCAGAUAAAACCCUAAGUCUGGGUGUUGGUUGCAUUUGGAUCCUUUUCCAUGAUUAAUUGAUGGUUAAAUAUGAGCAUUAAGGACCGUCAACACCUGUACAUACCACCGACAUCGCCUCUGCUCUACGAGAUCAUGCUGGCCGUCCACGAGGAGGGGCACGAAGGCGUCCAGCGCACACUGCACCUCCUGCGAUCUGACUUCCAUUUUCCUAAUAUGAAACAGGUGGUGUAGGACCUUGUUCGCACGUGCGGGGUUUGUCAGCGGUACAAGUCGGAGCAUUUACAUCCAGCGGGACUCCUGCUGCCCCUACCGGUGCCUCUGGGCAUGUAGACAGAUGUGGCGCUCGACUUCGUGGAGGCGCUGCCCCGCGUCCAUGGGAAGUCCGUGAUCCUCACCAAGGUGGACAGAUUCAGCAAAUAUUACCAUUUCGUUCCACUGGCGCAUCCGUACUCCAUCGAGACUGUCGCCAGGUGUUCUUCACCGACAUCGUCCGACUACAUGGCGUUCCUCAGUCGAUGGUGUCAGAUCAGGACCCCGUCUUCAUGUCCAACUUCUGGCAUGAACUCAUGCGCCUGUUGGGGACAAAGCUCCACAUGACGACAACAUUCCAUCCUCAGUCCGACGGCCAGUUCGAGGCGGCUAACCGUGUCAUCAUCAUGUACCUGUGGUGCCUCACUGGGGACAAACUGCGGUAGUGGCUGUGUUGGCUGCCCUAGGCGGAGUUCGUCUUCAACACCGCCUACCAGACGUCACUGUGCGACACGCCAUUCCACGUGGUCUACGGCAGGGACCUGCCAUCUCUCCGUUCAUAUGAACCCGGCGAAACCAGAGUGGCCACCGUCGCCCAAAGCAUGGAGGAAUGAGAUGAGUUCCUAGCUGAUGUUCACUAUCGGCUACAGCAGGCUCAAGCCACUUAGAAGCUACACUACGACAAGGCCCAUCAUCACGUCUAGUACCAGGUGGGCGACUGGGUGCUCCUUUGGCUCAGGCAGCGGGCGACGUCUUCCCUUCCCCAGGCUACCACCGGCAAGCUCAAGCUACGCUUCUUCGGCCCCUACCGCAUCACCGAGCUCAUCAACGACGUCACCGUCCGCCUCGACUUGCCACCCCACGCCCGCAUCCAUGAUGUCUUUCAUGUUGGCCUGCUCAAGAAGUUCUAGGGGACCCCGCCAGACACUCCCCCGCCCCUGCCGUUCUAGCACCAUGGGGCUGUUGCACCAGAACCUGAGCGGGUGGUACGCUCUCGCCUCGCUUGCGGCGAGCGCCAGAUCCUCGUCCACUGGAAAGGGGAGUCCACAGCGUCCGCCACUUGAGAAGACCUGGAGCUGUUCCGUGCCAAGUUUCCUACAUUCCAGAUCGAGGAUGAGCUGCUCCUCGACGGGGGAGAGAUGUCAUGGUCGGGCGCACCUACGCCAGGCGCUAGAGGACGCGUGACGUGCGCCGUGACCAAGAACGCGUGGAGCGCGCGGGCCAGGACGCGAAGGGCGCCCCCUCGGUUGGGGCUUGAGAGUCCCCCUCGGUUGGGGCCUGAGAGUAUCUUAGGUGAUAAAUAAAUAAGAUAUAUUUCUAUUAUUAGUUCCUAAAUUAGUGGAGCUUGUUGCUCCUUUCGGUUGGGCCAAAGGCCAUAUAUUCUGUACCUGCUACCGCAUGGAGGUUAAGAAAGAAUUAUCAAUCUAAUCUUCCCCCCUACCCUUCAACUAAGCCUACGACCAUGUUAUCCUUGCUGCAGAAGACGACGGACCGAGGCUACGAGUUACGUAGCCGAGGGCCAGCUAUCCAACGGCCUGACGCCCUUGACACACAUUAACAAAGCCGUGCGAUGAAGACUCACCCAGAACUCCCUCUUGAUCACAUCGGCAAGGGGGACCUCAUCUGCGUCCUUGACUUUGUAGAACUCCGGCCACUUAUUGGGUGGCUUUUGGAUCCCGUCUAUGGUGAUAAGGCUAGGGUAGUGCUUCUUAACCAGGUGGCCCAGCAUGCCAUUAAUAUGGCGUGAACUGCCCCCGUUCACAAGCUUCCAGUUGCUGCACGAGUCAUUAAGAACAACUGUUAGUCCAAAGUUCAAUUUUCAACAUGUCAUAUGAAUAAGUUGUGAAAACAUGAAUGGUUACUUACUUUGGACCCUCGGGUCGAAUCACCGGACGGUGGGCUACCGCGAGCGGGGCGGAAGGGAGGCGUGUGAUCCUCUUAGGCAUUAGAAAAAUGAUAUUCAUGUUAGAGAGUUUAUUUUGAAGCCGUGUCCAGAAACUCACCCAGAAUUUUGAAGUCCUUGUCCACGGAACAUGACCAUAGAGGUGUGGUAUAAGUGCUUUUUAAUUAUAUAAAAUUCAAACGAAGUUGGAAAAUUACGAAACUUGUUGAGAUGUCAUAUUAUCACAUAUGGACCCAUGGUAAAAAUUUUAAAAAGUUUGGAGAAAGUUGCGACGUCACAUGUGGUAAAACCCACACAUCUCCGCAUGUGUUCAUAUGUGAUCACAUGUGGAGGUGUGUGGGUUUUACCACAUGUGACGUCGCAACUUUCUCCAAACUUUUUAAAAUUUUUACCAUGGGUCCAUAUGUGAUAAUAUGACAUCUCAACAAGUUUCGUAAUUUUCCAACUUCGUUUGAAUUUUAUAUAAUUAAAAAGCACUUAUACCACACCUGGAUGGUCAUGUUCCGUGGACAAGGACGUCAAAAUUUUAGGUGAUUUUUCUCGACAUGAUCUUAAAAUAGACUCUCCAACAUGAAUAUCAUUUUUUGAAUGGCUAAGUUUCAUUAUUUGAUGCACCUGCUGUUCAAAGUAGGAUUCUACGAUGGAAAAUACAAUUAACAUAAAUUAAUUAACGAAAUAUAGCAAAAAGGGUCACAAAAUCGCGAAAGUUUUUAAGGUUCACUCUUAUUGCAUGUGGAGGCUAUGAAAAAAGUUUGAGGAAGUUUGGAGCAAGUGACGACGUCAAAUGUCCAAAACCUAAAUUCAAAUUUUAAAAAUAAAAAAUUUCAUCUUUGUCGACUGCCUGACGGCCUGAAAGAUGGUAAAGGGGACGGCGAUGGGCGCCGUUUUGACCAGCCAUCUUUUGCCACCAGCUUUUCUUUGCCACCUGCCAGGCAGUCGGCAAAGACUGUCUUUGCCGACUGCUUAGAGUGGCCGAUAGCUCAGGACAAUAGGGCAGUCGACAAAGAAUCCUUUGCCGACUGCUUUUAGGGGCGGUCGACAAAGUGUAUGUUUGCCGACUGCCCUACCUUUGGCAGGUGGCAAAGGAUUCUAGCAGUCGGCAAAGUCCAGUUUUCCUGUAGUGGCGAUGGCUACCAUUGCACCGCUCCAACCUUACUGGCUACCUCGCCCAGGAAACCAAUCAGGCGCAGCUCGCAACAGCCUGGAUGGGAUGGAUGCGGGCAACCAAACACGCCCUAGACUAUGCUGCGACACCGAGGCUAGGUUCUCUAGCCCCCACGUCUAUAUAGAGCAUCCAAGUACAAAGUCAUAAACUACUCUCUCUCCAUCCUAAAUUGUAAGUUACUCUAAAAUUUUGGACAGGUCAAAGAAUCUCAAGUUUGACUAAAAUUAUAGAAAAAAUUACAAAGUUUUGUGACAUCAAAUAGAUAUAGUAUGAAAAUGUAAUUAAUGAAAAAUCUAAUGAUACUUAGUUGAUAUCAUAAAUGUUAUUAUUUUACCAUAUAAAUUUUGGUCAAAUUUAAGAUGCUUUGACUUUUUAUGAUUUUUAGAAUAACUUAUUUGAGAUGGAAGGAGUACCAUGCAAUCACGCGUUGGAAGAAAAAAGUGAGGCUCUGUGACAUGCUUUCUAGGGACCAUGAUCAAAAGUAACUAAAGAGAUGACGGGAGCAGUGGGAGUAGCACUAGUACAAAAGUGCUCAAAGCCAGCGGUGCAACAUAAUUUUUGUUGAUGCAAAAGCUGAUCUGCAAACACAAAGGGCUAAUACCCGAUUCAAACGUUAAGGCAUGCCAGCCGAUUUGACCUUGCAAUCGACAAAGGUGGUAACUCGAACACUUUGGUCCCGACAACAGCGAUGCGCCCGGAUGUCACGGCCAAGAGGUGCUCACGCGGAACUUGAGAACACGCCGAGUUUGACUCGACGAAUUCCUAAGAACUCGUGGUAAAAGGAAAAUAUGACGAAGUCGUCAAAAAGUAGAUGCUGGAAUAUGUGUAAAAACUUGUGUUUGAUUGAUUGAUAGAUGAUUCAUUACAUUGUCCUAGGGUCUACAUUUAUACCCUAUCCAAGGAGUUACAACCAGACACGACCAGGACUUGAAUUCCAAAUUAAACGGAAUCCGUAUACAAGACGAACUCUAAUAACUAAGAAAAACAUUAAACUAUCCUCCACAACCGAUCGAUACACUGUUAUGAGCCAAUCGGCAACCCCUGCAUCUUUCUUCAUAAGCAUCGGCAGACCGCUUGUUACAGCCAUCGGCAACCAUCGGCACUAGUCAUCGGCACGAACAUACCACCUCUUUUGGACUUGGUCAUAUUCGGUUGCUUUCCCAUCGGCACCAACCUUCAUCGGCAACUUCCCUGUAGACUAAUCACCAUUGUCUCUCCUGCCGAUCUACACCCUAUUAACUCCAGGUGCAUAUUCCAAAGAUACGUGUCCAAAAACGGUGUCAACACAUGCCCCCCAAUUUCGGAGUAUAAAUCAUUAAUGCUCCGAAAUUCUCCUUAUUAAUGACACCUUUCCGCAAUUACUUCCCUCAAUUUGGUAAUUAAUCACCAAAUCUAAACAGCUUCGGCCCGUUUCUCCUGCAGGUUUCUCAAAUUUCUCAACUUCUCGAACCAAACCUCCUCACAAUGCGCUCAUCGGCAAUAUUACCGGUAGAGAAGAUUGCUGAUGGACCGACCAGGCGAUCUUACACAGUAAGAUAUCUUCAAAAUUAUGACCGCUUGCUGUCAAAUCACCUGUGCAAUCCCUUGAUUAUCGUGCGAACAGUUACCAUAUCCACCUGAACACCAUCGAAUUCCUCGGAUGCGGCAAAGAGAUAAGUCAGAUUUGCCCCUGCCCUCCUUGUCCUAUAAAUACUUCCUUCUCUGGUACUCCUCUUCCAUCCUGUCAUUCUUUUAGGAGUUGGCCGAUAAAAUCUUUAUUCCUACCGAUCAACCUCACUUCCAGUGCCUUGGUCCAUUGGGAAACCCAGAUCCUACCGAUCUGAUAAACGUAGAGACAAAUAGGAUCCCCUUUAGAGCUGAGAACUUCUCCUUAGAUCUGUGGAGAGAUGCUUUCCGUUCCUAGCCCAGCCCUACCAAAGGAUGGAAAGACUGGUUCCUGAGAAUCAGCAAUUCAAAUGAAGUCCAAUGGGGUGAGCGGAAAUUGGACUAGUGUAUCAAGCUAUCUAUUGCCGAUAUGGAGAGGAAUGAGUCGCUGGUGAUAGUUGCCUCAUACUUUUAGUCAGACACACUUAAUGCUUUUGUAUUUGGCCAUGGCCCUGCUUCACCUACUCUUGCCGAUGUACUUAUGCUUACCGACUUAGACAUAUCAACUGCCGAUAAUAGUCAUUUAUUUGAUAAUAAGCCUAGCUCUAAGGUAGAGACUCACAGUAUCGGCGGUUGGUCUAGGUACAUUUAGAAGUACUGAAAAACAGGAUCUGUUGGGGAAAGAGAACACGCUAUUUUCCUGAACAUGUGGCUGGAUAAGUUUGUGUUCUGUGGCCGAUCGGCAGGACCAACCUCUGUCUAUCUAUCGACAGCAGAGAGACUGGCCAAUGGUGGCCGAUUUCCACUUGGCCGAUACCUGCUCGACUCUGUCUAUCACCUCCUUCACCAGGUAGCUAAGAAACUCCUCCUAGGCCAACCCAUCGGCAACUUAGGGGGACCUUGGUGGUUCAUCAAUAUGUGGCUCAGUGUCCAUAUGCAUAAGUGCCUUGGAUUCAACCUUUUUGCACAGCGCUUUCCCAGAGACAAAGCCGAAGAUCAUGAGUUGGAUGAGGAAGAAUCGGCAACUCGUUCCCCUCUGAACUAUGGUGAAGCUGCCAUAGUUUUAUCUGGCACCGGUGGUAAUGAGGACCAGGUCAGCAGACUCUCUAUGAAGGUCUGGCCAAAGACCAGCAGGCAUGGAUGCCUUAUGAAGAUCCGGAAACCAGAUUCCCCACUUUCCACCCCUUUGAUGAUGCUCUCAACAAAGAUCAUGAUCUGAUGAUGGCAAUUAUUACUCCGAAAGCUAUACCACUGAACUUUUUUGGCAGUGGAAAGCUUCCAAUCUCACAUACGAGUUCUACAACCCAUCAGUACUGGCUCAUCAACUGGCCUUUGGACAACUGCCGAUUGCACUCUGCUACGCCGAUGUCGUAAAGCCAAGAGAAAUCAUAACCAGCGGUCUUGAGUGGAUCAAGAUAGCUCAACUCCCACCGAAUGCCGAUACGUCAGAUAUUGAUUUAUUGGCUUGGAUCCCAGCUCUCUUCAUCACUCAAGCAUACAAACAAUGGUGGGAGGAAUGGAAAGAGCACCUGUUCUGCGGAUCGGCCCUCACAUACCACGGCAUGAUCGACCCCAAGUAUAAAAUCCCCGAGAAUACUGUAAGUCUUCAACCGAUGCUCCAAUCCUUUUAUUACUUUUAUUUCUAUCAGUAACUCAUUUUCCUCUCUUUAAACAGGUCGACGAUACACCACCGACAGUCAGCAGGAGCAGAAUGCCGAUCGAACUCCUUCCAUCAGGUCCGAUCUCCCUCAUCGGCAACAACGCACCAACCCUGGCAACUCUGAUGCACCGGAAUGUGCGUUUUAAGAAUAUAACCACCAAACGAGCAAAGACAUCUCCAUCGGUCGCCGCUGCCACCUUGGCACAAGCUUUCAAGGUGAAUCUUUUGAUUUCCUUAAUUCAUGCCGAUUCCAUUCUAUACUCACUCCACCUUUUCAGGAUACAUCGGCCGCUAUGGGAACUUCAUCGGUAACUUUUAUUGUUUCAACCAAAAUUUCAUCAAUACUCUGUUACACUUGUACUUAUGAAACUUUUGUUGUACCAGCAAAGUGGCAAAUCGGCAAAGACCAGACGUGCCAAGACAAGUGCCGAUGCCCCCCAGUCCAGUCAAGCUAAGAGAAAAGCCCCCAAGAGUACCAAGACACAACCAAAAUGCCAGAAGACAGCACCACCUUCUUCUCCUCCUCCAUUGUCGCCGAUUCAUGUGGAAUCAUCCCCUUCUUCACCAGAACUCCAGACUCAGCAAGCACCAUCUCCACCUCAGCCACAGGAAGCAGCUCAGCCAGCAGGGACAUCAGCUGAUGUACUUGAGCAGAUUGCUGAUCCAGUAAGUUCAAUCAUAUCAUCGGUGGUCUCCUCAAUUUAGACAAGCACUGCACCUCCUCAAGGUAAAGUACUGUCCAUAAAAUUAUUGCCGAUGUAUCUAUUUUUCAACUUAUAACGAUCAUUUUCUUUUAGCUGACAUUGUUCCAUCGACAACUCCGGCCGAUCAACCUGUGGUACCAUCGGCCUUAGCUAGCCAGAGGCAAGAAAUUGCCCUGAAACAAGUAAGUCACCUGAAUUCUAUUUUUAUCAUCACUAGUACUUGAUCAUCAAAUAACUUAUUUUAUAUUCUUUUCAGGAACAGGACUCUCCCGACAGCUGUUUUCCUUCGCCAUCGAAAUUUCUGAUGAUGAAGGCGAGGAAGCAAGCUCUUCUCAAGCAGUAGGGAUUUCAUCUGCAGAAAUCAGAGCUAAACUGGAAGAUCUGCUGGCCUUGCUUCAUCAGGACACUGCUUAAUUAGUUGAUGAUUCUGAUCUAGCUAAAGCUUUGUUCAAAGCCCUCAGGGGCCAAAUCCCUGCCGAUGCCGAAGAGGUCCUCUUCCAGGCUGCGCAUUUGGAGAGCCGCCAGCUUCAGUACCAAAAGGCUACCCAACGUCUUGCCGAUAGAGCCACCCACACCCAACUUUCGGAGGAGGUAAUGAAAGUGAAAUAUCUUGCCGAUGAGAAGCAUAAGAGCAUCGGCACCCUAAAAUCCUCUGGAGAUACGCUGAGGCAGAAGAUUUCCAAUCUAUUGGCAAAAAGGGAAACCCUAUUGGCAGAGCUUAAGCAAGUAGAAGAGGCUCUUUCCCAAGCUCAGUAAGAAGAAAAUUAGUUGCCCAAAAUGAUCAAGACUCUCGAACAAGAGUAAAACAUCCAAGCCCGCAAGGCACUGCAGAUGAAGAAGAAGCUGAAGCCAGUGGAGGGUUCUGCCGAUGAAGACAUCAGGGAGAUAGAAGAAGCCGAUCAAAUCCAUCUGCGCGCCAUAUUGGCCAUCCAAGCCUUGCUAAAUGCAUGAACUCUUCAUCGGCGGCAUGUUUUGUUCUGCCUUUAGAAACUGCUGACUAUUUUGGUCUAGCCGAUAGGAUUGUUAUCGGCAUCCUUUUAAAACAUCAUACUCAGUCCCAGAUACAAUUUAAUCCAGCCGUUAGGAGUGUUAUCGGCACCUAAACUUUUAUGCAUCGACCCAUAUGCUUGGGUAAUACUUUUUUAAAUAUUUUUCAUUCAAUGCUCUGGGAAAUGCAACUCCUUUGAGAGUUUCCAAAAUAUAAGCAUUACCGGGAGCAGACCGAUUUAUCCGAUAAGGACCUUCCCAAUUAGGAGACCACUUCCCAAAUUUUGAACUUUUAGUCCCAAUCGGCAUGAUCAAUUUCCAGACCAAAUCUCCAUCGACAAACUCCUUAGCUUUUACUUUUUUAUCGUACCACUUAGCAACUCUCUUUUUAUUUUCUUCUAUACUUAUCAAAGCUUUAAGCCGAUGCCAUGCUAAAUCAUCUAACUCAUCUUUCAUCAAAGUAGCAUAGUCAUCGGCAGCCAACUGAUUUUGGAAAGAUAGUCGCCUAGACCCAGUCUUAAUUUCCCAUGGUAGUACUGCAUCGUGCCCAUACACCAACUGAUAAGGUGAAACUUUGGUCGACCCAUGACAAGCCAUCCGAUAUGACCAUAAAGCUUCAUUCAACAAUGUAUGCCACCUCCUAGGAUUUUCAUCAAUCUUUCAUUUGAUAAGUUUAAUAAUUUCUUUGUUAGACGCCUCGGCCUGCCCAUUGGCUUGAGCAUAAUAAGGAGAAGAAUUUAACACUUUAAUUCCCAUACCGAUUGCAAAUUCAUCAAACUCUCCCGAUGUAAACAUAGUACCCUGAUCGGUAGUGAUUGUUUGAAGAAUACCAAAUCGGUACACAAUAUGCUCUUUCACAAAAUCAAUCAUAUUAGCCGAUGUAACUUUCUUCAAAGGAAUAGCUUCAACCCACUUAGUGAAAUAAUCAGUGGCAACUAAGAUGAACUUAUGCCCUUUGCUCGAUGGUGGGUAAAUCUAGCCAAUUAGAUCAAUAGCCCAUCCCCGGAACGACCAAGGUUUAAUAAUGGGGUUCAUGGCCGAUGCAUGCGCCCUUUGAAUAUUACCAAACUUCUGACAUCCUUGACAUCCUUUGAAAUACUUAAAGCAAUCCUCGAGUAUGGUCGGCCAAUAAUACUCGUUUCUACUAAUCAUCCAUUUCAUCUUAAAAGCCGACUGAUGCGCUCCACAUACUCCCUCAUGGAUUUCACCCAUCAAACUCCUAGCUUCAUCAUCACCUAAGCACUUGAGAAGAACUCCAUCUAUUGUUCGAUAAUAUAGUUCAUCUCCAAGGAGCACGUACUUGGUGGCUUGAAACCUGAUACGCCUAUCAACCUUUUUAGACAGAUCUUUUAAAUAAUCAAUGAUCUCCUUUCUCCAAUCAUCGGCACUGAUUGCCGAUAACGCAUUCAAUAUGGGUUGAUAUCCCGAGGCAUGCUGAGCCAACCGAUUAGCCUCCUCAUUAUGUAACCGAGGAACAUGGUCUAAUCGGAAAUCCUUGAAUUCCUUUAAUAGUUGCAUACUCUUUUCAUAAUAGGUUAUCAGGACCUCGCUUCGGCAUUCAUAAUUUCCAGCCAACUGAUUUAUAACCAGCAUAGAAUCUUCGAAGAUUUCAACAGCAUCAGCACGCACCUCUUUUAACAAUUCCAACCCUUUGAUCAAGGCUUGAUAUUCAGCUUGAUUAUUCGUUAACGUGGCGACAAUCGUUAAAGAGAACUCAUACUUCUUUCCCUGAGGGGAAAUUAGUACGAUGCCGAUUCCUGUCCCCCGGUCACACGUAGACCCAUCAAAGAAGAGUGUCCAAGGAACAAUUUCCAAUCCACUACACCACAAUGUUGAGUAACGAAAUCGGCCAUGAUCUGCCCUUUAACCGCCUUAGCCGAUUCGUAUCGUAGAUCGAAUUCCGACAGCGCCAAAAUCCAUUUACCGAUCCUUCCACUCAUAAUCGGCAUAGAUAGCAUGUACCGGAUUACAUCAUCUUUGCAUAUAACAGUGCAUUCAGCCGAUAGCAAAUAGUGUCUCAACUUAAUGAAUGAAAAGUAUAAGCAUAAACAUAAUUUUCAAUUGCCGAAUACCUGGUCUCAGCAUCAAUCAGCCUUCUACUUAAAUAAUAAAUCACACGCUCCUUCCCUUCAAAUUCUUGAAUCCGAGCCGAACCGAUGACCACUCCAUCGGUAGACAAGUACAAUCUGAAGGGCCUUCCUUGCUGAGGUGGAAUCAGUACCGGAGGACUCGUUAGAUAAUUCUUGAUUUCAUCCAAAGCUGAUUGUUGCUCUUUUCCCCACACAAACUCUUGAUCGGCUUUCAAUUUAAGUAAAGGACUGAAAGCACGAAUUUUACCAGACAAAUUGGAAAUAAAUCGCCUGAUAAAAUUUAUUUUGCCGAUUAGAGAUUGGAGCUCAAUUUUGUUGGUAGGAGCAACUAUUUUGUUGAUGGCAUCGAUAGAUCUUCUACUAAUUUCAAUUCCUCUCUGAUGCACCAUGAAACCAAGAAAUUGCCCUGCCGAUACACCAAAUGCACACUUGUUAGGAUUCAUCUUUAAACCAUGUUUCUUUGUGCAUUCCAACACUUUUCGCAGAUCGGCAAGAUGCUUUGUGAAAUCCCCAGACUUAACCACCACAUCAUCAAUGUAGAUUUCUACCACCUUGUCAAUGAACUCAUGAAAGAUAAAAUUCAUAGCCCUCUGAUAAGUAGCACCAGCAUUUUUUAGGCCAAAGGUCAUGACUAUACAUUCAAACAACCUAACAUGACCAGGACACCUAAAUGCGGUCUUCGGGAUAUCUUCUUCAGCCAUGAAUAUCUGAUUAUAUCCUGCAUUGCCAUCCAUAAAACUGAUAAUGCGAUGUCCAGCCGCAGCGUCAACUAGCAAAUCGGCAACUGGCAUUGGAUAACCAUCCAUUAGUGUAGCCUUGUUAAGAUUUCUGAAAUCAAUGCAGACUCGAAGCUUCUCAUUCUUCUUGUAAACUGGAACAACAUUGGAAAUCCACUCGGCAUACCGACACUGCCGAAUAAAUUUAGCUUCAAUAAGUUUAGUUAUUUUGGCCUUAAUAUCAGGAAGAAUAUUAGGAUUACAUCGGCGGGCUGGCUGUUGAUGUGGCCGAAAUCUAGAUUUGAUAGGCAACCGAUGUUCAACGAUAGACCGGUCUAAACCAGGCAUCUCGAUAUAAUCCCAAGCAAAGCAAUCUUUAUAUUCCUUUAAUAGAUUGGUUAAUGGUUGCUUACACUCAGAAUCUAACUUAGCUCUAAUAAAAGUAGGCCUUGGCUUAUCACCAUUACCUAUAUCUACUUCUACUAAAUCAUCGGCCGUUGUAAACCCCUGGCCUAAUUUUCCAUCAUCGACGAACCUAUCCAUUAAAACUCCUCGUCAUAAAUGACUGCUUGGAUCGGUGGAAUUUCAUAAUCGGCAACCUUGAGGAAAUCAUUCUCCUAAAUUUCUCCCGAGAUGCACCUGGUCCUCUCAUAAGUAUCUGCUUCUGCCGAUGCAAUGACAUAUGAAGAAUCUCCUGGGACAAUUUCAAUCUUAUCACCUACCCACUAAACCAAACAUUUGUGCAUUGUGGACGGGAUGCAACAAUUGGCAUGGAUCCAAUCUCUUCCCAAUAGCAGAUUAUAAGCACCCUUUCCACUGAUAACGAAGAAAGUUGUUGGCAAAGUUUUGUUGGCGAUGGUCAACACGACGCAUAUUGCCCCCUUAACCGGAGACACAUUCCCUUCAAAAUCCUUCAUCAUCAUAUCGGUCUUGGUCAAAUCUUGAUCUCCUUUUCCAAGCUUCCGAUAGACUGUAUAUGGCAUAAUAUUGAUAGCAGCCCCACCAUCAACAAGUAUCUUGGUCAUCGGCUGCCGAAUCAACCCUACCAUUGACGAAUAGGGCCUUAAGAUGCUGUCUUUCAUUAUCGGCAGGCUUUUCAAAGAUAGCCGUCAUCGGAUCCAGAGCCAACUGAGCUAUCUGGUCGGAAAAAUCCACUUCCUCAUCAUCACUGGAUGGCGCAAGGAACUCGAUCGGCAACAUAAAUACCAUGUUAACAUCUGCCGAUGGCCCUUUUCCUUUAUGAUCCGGCUGCUGCUGAUCCUAGGUUUGCCAGAAUUCUCUCCUUUGCUCAAGUCUUCUCGUCUUUCGUGCUGCAGCCUUCUUUUCUAUGUCCUAGUCAGCCCCUCUGGACACCAUGGAGGAAGUUGCGGCUGCCUUACCGAUUGACGACGAACUUCCCUUGACUCCACUCGGUAAGUAUUAGCAUCUCUGCAAAAUAUGAACUCAUCGAGAACUCGUGCAUCUGCCAUCUCCUCGAGUUCCUCUUGGUUCCUAGGAAAGUACCCAACACGGUCACCAAGUAUAUCAUGCACACUGAGCCUGCCCCCCAGCCGAUCAUGAACCGAAGCUCUCCCCCUAAUCGGCCCAUUAAAUCGCCGAUCAUCAUUUUGAUACUGCCGAUUAGGUCUAUCAUACCGAUCGUAACCAUUGCACUCAGUGCAGUCUCUAAUAGUAGGCAAUUUGAUGUUUUGUUCCCAACAAUGGAUAAAGAAUGGGCAGUUCCAAUGAUCCUUAUGCCGAUUCCACUCCUGUCGAUGUCUUUCUUCUUCCCAACGAUGAUCCUCCUGUUGGCGCCGAUACCGAUCUUCAUGUUGCUGCCAAGUCUCUUGAUGCCUUCUAUGAGUUAUCACAAUACCAGAUCGGGGAGGCCUUCCUGAGCUGGUUCCUUCCUGAACCAGACCCUUGCCUUUAGCGUCAUCGAUAGUAAUCUGAUGUUGAGGAUCCACCGAUGCACUUCUUUCAGCUGCCUCUGACGUUAAAACCUUGGUUUUCCCUUAGCAUCCAACAUAUUUGUUGGAAAAGGAUGCUGGUCAAUCUUCAUCGGCUUCUGAGCUUUGGAAUUAUCAAACUUAAUUCUCCCAGAUUCUAUGGCCGAUUGCAGCUGUUGCUUGAAAACUUUGCACUCAUUUGUGCUGUGGGAUGUUGCAUUGUGCCACUUGCAAUACUUCAUCUUCUUUAAUUCUUCAGCCGAUGGAAUCACAUGAUUAGGAGACAACUUAAUUUUCCCUUCCUGAAGUGGAAAAUCAAAUAUCCUAACAGCCUUGGUAAUGUCAAAUGCAAACUUCUCUGCUCUUUAUGCCCAAAAGGGCAAGACAUCGGCUUCUUGUUUCUCACCCACUCUGCCAAGCCGAUGACUGGUUCUUCAUCAGAAUCUGAGCUUGCUGCCUCAUAGACAAAUGACACCUUUUUAUUCCAUGCUCUCUUGGGUUCAAAAGGUUUAAUAUCUUGGUUAGAAAUCCUCUGCACCAAAUGACUCAUACUCUCGAACUCUUGAGAAGCAUACUUGUCUCUGAUAUGUGGCAACAAUCGCUGGAAAGCCAAAUCGGCUAGUUGCCGAUCAUCCAGAACCAGACUAUAGCACUUAUUUUUGACCUCUCGCAACCUUUGCACAAAACUCUCAACUGAUUCAUCAUUGCGUUGCUUCAGCCUGACUAAAUCAGUAAUCUUCUUCUCAUGAACUCCAGAAAAGAAGUAUUUAUGAAAUUGUUUCUCUAGAUCGGCCCAAGUGAUCACCGAAUUAGGAGGUAAUGAAAUAAACCAAGUAAAAGCCGAUCCAGAUAAAGAUGAUGAGAACAAACGAACCCUUAACUCAUCCCUAUUAGCAGCUUCUCCACACUGGAUGAUGAAUUUGUUAACAUGCUCCAUGGUUGAUGUAUCAUCCUGCCCAGAAAACUUGGUGAAAUCUGGUACCUUGUACCGAUUUGAAAGUGGAAUUAGGUCGUAUGCAGGAGGAUACGGUGUCCGAUAAGUGUCGACGAAAGCUAGUCGGCAGUCUACCCUGGGGUAUACCCACGGUAGUAGUUUAUCGGUAGACGGUGCGCAAACUACGAACUCGAUGGUGACGCAAGACACAGACAAGCUUUUUAUCCAGGUUCGGCCGCCGAGUUGGCGUAAUACCUACGUCCUGCGUCUGGUUGUAUUGAUUUGUGUUGAGAGAAUCGUAUAUCCUAGGGGGGUCCCUUGCCUCUCCUUAUAUAGUCCGGAGGGCAGGGUUACAGAUCUGGAAACUAAUCCUAGUCGGUUACAAUUGCCAUAGAUAGUUCGAUAUCAAUUCCUAUUCUAACCGACUAGAAUCCUGUUUGAUCUCCACGUCUUGUUUCCUUGUGUGAAACUCCGAGCUGUCGGAUCAAACCUUGAGCUUGUCUCGUAAUGGGCCAAGCCUCCUGGCCCAAGUCUAGCCGUAAGGGUACAGGGGUUUAUACCCCCACAGCUAGUCCCCGAGCACCAUGUACUGUGAUGUAACACGCCGUCUUGAGCUUCUUCGAUCAGUGAGGCUUGACGUCUUCAAUAAGCUGGAAAAUCGCCCAAACAGUUGCAACAGUAUUUUGACCAACUCAAAAGACAGUUGAUCAAUAUUGACAUCGAAGAAGCAGGUUGUUCGAAGAAUGCAUGGUGCUCUUAAAUUAAAAAAGAUUUCUUUCCCGGUGAAGUGUGCCCACUUUACUUUUGCUAAAAGUAUAGACUUCAAAAAAGCAAGCAUAUUCACCGCCAGGUGAAGUGUGCCCACUUAGUCCCUGAGCCUGGUAGUAGGUGACGUAGGCACGUGGUGCCAGGGUCAAAAGAACAGUCCUCAAAGAAAUUCUGAAAUUGAGAUGCAUCGCCAGAUGCAUCGUACCGAUGUAGUCCCCGAGCUUGCUGGAAGGCAAAGUAUGAGCCUUGUAGCAAGGUCUAAAAAAUUGAAUUUACCAGUCCGUCUGUAAUUGAAUAGACUAAUCGACCACUCCCCGAGCAUAUAACGCUCGGUGGUCGGUAUAGUCCCCGAAUUCUCAAAUUGGUAGGCUAGUCGACCAGUCCCCGAGCGUAUAGUGCUUGGUGGUCGGUGCAGUCCUUCACAUCCGAGUUAAUAGACUGAGCGACCAGUCCCCGAGCAUCAAGUGCGCUCUUCAGAAUUCCGAGACGCUAUACUAGACGACAGUCCCCGAGCAUCGAACGCUCAGUGGUUGGCGUGAUGUUUUGAAGUUCCGAACUGAUAGAUUAGGCGACCAGUCCCCGAGCAGCAAGUGGUCGGUGGUCGUUGCAGUCCCCGGGUCGGAGAUGAUAGACUGGGCGACCAGUCCCCGAACACCAAGUGCUCAGUGGUCAGUACAGUCUUUGAGGUUCCGGGCAGAUAGACUGGGCGACCAGUCCCCGAGCACCAAGUGGUCGGUGGUCGGUGCAGUCCCCGGAUUGUUGACUCUCUACCAGUUUUGUCUGCUUGUUUGAAAAUUUUUCCACAUUAAGAGUUGAUGUGACGAGACUUUCUGACGGGAUGUCAGAUGGAUGCAUGAAAAGUUGCGCCUGGCAACUGUGCAGCCGCCCUUUGCGCGGUUUGAGAAAAAGGAAACCAUCAAUUUGUACGAAAACUCCGCCGCAUUAAUUGUCGAUAAUCAUUGAUAACCGAAGCGUCACGCCCGCCGUAUGGCCUGCCCGCUUCCCGAGAAUGCGGGAAGUGGGAGGGGUGAAGUUGCGGGUUAUAAGAGCUCGACAGUUCCACCUGUGCUGCUUACCCUUCCAUUGCCUUCAAACCUUCGACUCUCCCCUUCUUCAAUCACCUGCAUCUUGCUAACUCAAAUCCACUUCCUCACCUCCAAUGGCGAAAAGCGACUCCAAGAAGCGGGCCGAGCUGAUGGCCAAGGAGUGGAAAAAGUCCCGCAGCACCGCCAAGUCCCUCGGUGACCUCGUCGACAUGGGGCUUCUGCACGGCUCGGAGCUCGGCGGCUGGAGAGCGCUGGAAGGAGAGAGCUUCCUCGAUCCCCGUGCCGGUGAGAUCGUCGUGUUCGAAGAUUUCGUUAAGAGGGGCUUUGGGAUUCCUGUUCAUCCUUUUCUUCAAGGUCUUCUUUUGUAUUAUGAGAUCGGGAUUUGCAAUCUGCACCCGAACUCAAUUCUUCUCAUCUCCACUUUUAUCCAUCUGUGCGAGGCCUAUGUUGGCAUAGAGCCGCACUUCGAUCUCUUUCGUUAUCUUUUCUGCUUAAGGAAGAAGGGGGCAGUUGGAGGCUCCAAGGUUGCAGGUGGAGUAUACCUCAACCUUCACGACGGAAUGAAGAACCGCUACCUGCACUGUCCAUGGAACACCUCCCUGACCGAAUGGUACAGGAAGUGGUUCUACAUCAGAGAGGAACCGGGCAGCUCCACGUUCUGUGACGUGGGAUACAUCCCUGAGAAGAGGGUAAGCUGGACCGACCGCCCAGAGUUUGAUGGUCAAGUGGCGGACCUCAUGAAGCUGAUCGACUGGUCGCACCUGGACGGGCUUGGCGUGGUCGGCAACUUCAUUUGUCGUCGGGUGAUGCCCUGCCAGAAAAGGGUUCACUCGGCGUAUGAGUAUGCCGGGAGCCUGGACCCGACCAGGAUGCGGCCUGAAGUCUUGGAGAAGGAGGAGGUACAGUAGCUAUUGAAUGAGGUGUUCAACUUCGCGGACGGCGGCUUCGUCCGUGCUAGUGAUCGGGUGCAAGCCUUCAAGUUGGGGCGACCAGCACCAAAGGUAUGUUACAGAUUAUUUUGUUUUGGCAUUCGUAUAUCGUCUGCAGCUGGCUCAUCUUUGUUACUUUUGCAGAUUGGUGAUGUCGACCGGUGUACAGUGUAUGUAUCACUGGCACCGGGGAUGGAGAAUCCUGCGGGAGAAUACCCGCCAGAGGAAGACGCUGCUCGGUGUACUCAUUACACUAGCAGUGAGGAAGACCAGGCCUGCCCUGUCCCGACCACCCAGGAUAGAGUGACGGGGAAAAGGCCAAUGCCCGCGGAUCCGUCGCCGGCACCAUCGCUGCCGGUAGAGAGCAGCCGAGCGCCAAAGCGCCGUCGGUUCGUUCGGAUCGACGACGACGACGAGGAGGAGGAGGCCGUGCCAUCAUUGGUCCGGAGGCCUCAUGGCCAUCCGGACAGCGUGCCGACCACUGCUGAUCGUGUGGCCGGCGACCCUCCUGCGCCUCGUGUUGCAGAGUCGGGAGCACAGGUGCCGACUGGCCGGACGAGGAGGAGGUUCACUGCGACCCACCGUCGCUCAGACCUGUAAGUGUUCGACUUACGUAUUUUGGCUAUAUUUUUUUUUGAUGGCACUUUUGUUCUUUUAGCGCGGCGUCGGAUGUCAACCCCGGCCAUGCCGCCGGCCAGGGGACGGGUGAGCCUGUCUGUGCAGCUGAGGAUGCGGCGCCGCAGACCACGGAGCAGCCUGCGGCUGCAGCCGUGCCUGUGAGCACCGAGGAGCCCCCAGCCGCGGCACCGACCACGGCGAGCAGCCCGACCAGGGCUGAGGAGGCUACAGGGGCACCUCCCCCAGCGAACGCCACAGAAGGGGAGGGGAGAGCCCCGACCCCUCCUCCCGCCGAGGAGAGAGAAGUCCCCACGCCGCCCCGAGCAGGGGCCGCUUCGACUGCAGGCUCCCCGGGUCUGGCCCGGGGGCCAGUAAUGCCUUCGAAUGCUACCGGGGGCAAUGCGACGGGUGAGGAGGAAACCCAGGAGGCCUCCGACGACGAGGUGGAGGAGAUUGAAGGUCGUCCCCGCGAUGGCCGCCAACACGUGUAUGUGUGGCGCCAACACGGGGAUCACUUCAUCGGGCAUGAGGAGCUCACCGAGACCGAGGAGGCCACCAGGGUGGAGCGCGCGGCCAAACGCCUCGUCGACGAAGUCAAGGUAAGCGGUUCUUUGCACUGUUGUACAUUCUGUGCGUUGUCUUGCUUGGUUGUCAUAUGUUCGUUUUGUAGGGCGCGAUGAAAACGGCGAAGUACCGGAAAUGGUGCUUCGACCAGAUAGAAGGCGUUGUGGCCGAGAACAAGGCCCUGGCCGCGGAGGUGGACCGGCUGCGAUCAGAGGUUGGGGAGAAAGUGGCCGAGAUGAAUGCCCAAGAGGAGCAUCGUCUUGAGCUUACCCGUCGCUGGGCCAACCAGUACCGUCAGCAAGAAGGUUAGUCACGCGCUCCGAGCACCUUCGUGUAGCUGUGUAGUUCGCUUUGCUGACCAGGUUAUGAUUCACUUAGACCUGGAGGAGGAGGUGACGCGCCUCCGACACGAGAAGGAGCAGCUCAGCCAAGAGCUCGCUGGUGCGCUGGAGUCCGGGCGCCGAGCAGGAGAGGAGUUGGGUCGUAAGGACCGGGAGUUAUCUGGUAAUACGCACCGCCUCGUUAUCUGCCGCUUGUCGCCCCCUUUGUUUUUUGAUAUGUCGAAGAUAACGUCCUGCUUGAUUUGCAGUGCUCAAGGUGAACGCCAAGAAGCACCUGGAUGAGCUGGUCAAGGACCGGGACUCCUGGAAGGUCAAUUGUUGUAAGAUCUGGAAGGGAGUAUCCCCGGUCCUGGAUCUGAUCAGUCCCGAGCUCCCGGAGAGCCAGCCCCGCGCGCCGAAGUUGACUCUGGUGGAGAAGGCGCAACGGGCGUGGGACUGGCUCCAGCAAUUUGUGAAGGACGCUGGGGAGUUCGCUGGCGCGCAUGUCCUUAGCAUGGUGCGCGCCCACUACCCCCUGGUCGACUUGUCCAGGCUAGAGAAGGGGUACCCCAAGGAGGUCGGCCCGCAGGAGGCGGACGAGCUUCGGGGUGGUCUGCUGACUUGUCGUCGAUGGUGAUCGGCGACAUCAAUCUGUGCGGAACGGCCACUCCCCCAGACCAGACGGGCUCAGACAGGUCGGCCAGGGAGCUGUCGGGCACGUCCAUUGCAGGAGAUGGGUGGUCGACGCCUGCGGUCUCGACCAGCCAGGCGCCGGUGGCCCCGACCCCUUCGUUCGGGCAGCAGGGCCAGGCGGGUGAUCAGCCCGAGCAGCUAGGCCGAUAGGAUAGUCUAUAGGAGUAGACUAGCGUCUGCCCGUCAGGGUAUUUAUUGUAAACUUUGUAUGUAAAGUUUGUAGUAAAGUUUGCCUUUAUCAUGACUGUUAUUUUGAGCGCUGUAUAAUUAUCUGAGUGACGUAUCACUGUAUUUGACUUUGUAGUCGCUAAGAGAUUCCAUUGCAGAAGGUUUGCCGAGUUCUGCGUGCAACAAAAUAUAGGCAAAAAAUAGAAAACUUUAUCAUUGAUAAUUAUAAGAUAUUUACAAACGAAAGUUAUUAGAACUUAUGGAUAAAAUCGUCGCAGUCUGUCUAUGUGCCAAGAGUUAGGCACACGUGUUCCGUCUGGGUAUGCCAAUCUGUAGGACGUGGGUCGUGUGACUUCGGCGACCACGAAGGGUCCUUCCCAGGGAGUGGAUAGCUUGUGCAUUCCCUCUUGGCUUGUUCUCCACCUAAGUACCAGAUCACCGACCACGAAGGAACGGUCCUUGACGUGCCUGUUGUGGUAUCGCUUGACUGCCGCGAGAUACUUUGCUGUUCGGAGACAGGAAUGCAAACGAUUUUCCUCCAUGCAGUUGAUUUCGAGUUCUCUGGCGUUGUCGGCUGUCGCCUGAUCGAAGUGUUCAAUCCUAGGAGAUCCGAAGGUUAUGUCAGACGGCAGGACUGCCUCGGAGCCGUAAACCAUGAAGUAGGGAGACACUCCUGUGUUUCGACUGGUCUGAGUUCGGAGGCCCCAGACCACUGCCGGCAACUCUUUCAUCCAUCGACCGGGUGCUCUGUCGUUCUCGGUGUACAGCCUUUUCUUUAGGGCGUCAAUGAUCAUUCCGUUUGCACGUUCGACUUGACCAUUGGCCCGUGGAUGAGCCACUGACACGUAUUUUAUGACUAUGCCCCUGUCAUCGCAGAAGUCCCAAAAUGUGGUGCCAGUAAACUGAGUACCCAGGUCGGUGAUUAUGCUGUUCGGGAUGCCGAAUCUGUGUAUGAUUUGAUUGAGGAACUCCACAGCCUUCUCGGAGGUUGCUUUAACCAGAGGCAUGUAUUCGAUCCACUUGGAGAACUUGUCGAUUAACACGAAAACAAACUUGAAGUUGCCGGGAACUGGUUUAAAUGGCCCGAUCAUGUCAAGCCCCCAGCAAGCGAAGGGCCAGGACGACGGGAUGGUUUGAAUUUCGUGAGCAGGUACGUGGGUCCUCUUAGCAAAAAACUGACAUCCCUCGCAGUGUCGAACCAGUUUUUCUGCGUCGUUGACCGCGGUUGGCCAAUAAAAACUUGCCCGGAAGGCUUUUCCGACCAACGUUCUGGAUGCGGCGUGAUUGCCGCAGGAUCCAGUAUGUAUGUCUUCUAGGAGCUUGGUACCAUCAUCCUGGGAUAUGCACUUGAGCAAUACUUCAGAGCUUGCGUUUUUUCGCAUGAGUUUACCGUCGACCAGGAUGUAGUUCUUUGACCGUCGAAUGAGGCGCUCGUUCUCUGUUUUGUCCUGAAAGCCUGUCCCGUCCGAUAUAUACUUGAUGAAUGGUGUACGCCAAUCACGACCACCGGUUGUCGGAGUGGCAUCGUCUAUGAGCAUUGCCUCGGUGAGUUGCUUGUCGACCAGGGUGGAGCCUACGCUUGGCUCGUGGAUGUCCUGGACGAAAAUACCCCGCGGGAUCUGGGCCCGAGAUGACCCUAACUUCGACAACGCAUCUGCUGCUUGGUUCUUAUCCCGGACCACAUGGAUGUACUCUAUGCCGUAGAAGUUAGUUUCCCAUUUGCGAAUUUCUUUGCAGUAGAGAUCCAUCUUCUCGUGGGUUGCGUCCCACUCCUUGUUGAGCUGGUUGAUAACCAAAGCGGAGUUUCCAUAGACAUAGAGGCAUUUGACUCCCAGCUCAACGGCUAGCCUUAUGCCGUGCAGGCAUGCUUCGUAUUCGGCGACAUUGUUUGACGCUGGAAAAAGGAUCCUAAGGACGUAACGCAGUUUGUCCUUGUUAGGUGACACGAACAGUAUCCCAGUGCCGGCACCGUUGAUGUUCAAGGACCCGUCAAAGAACAAUGACCAGUGGUCGGAGACAUCGAGAACGGGGGGCUCGUUGAGAUCCGUCCAUUCAGCAAUGAAAUCGACCAGGGCCUGAGACUUGACUGUGGUGCGGCUCUGGAACUCCAGGAAAAAUGGGCAUAAUUCCAUCGCCCAUUUCACGAUUCUGCCGUUGGCGUCUUUGUUGCGCAGAAUGUCUCCGAGAGGGAAACUGGUGGUUACCAAAACUCGAUGGCUGUCGAAGUAGUGCUUCAGCUUUCUUGAUGUUAUUAGAAUGGCGUAUAUGAGCUUCUGUAUUUGUGGGUACCUGGCCUUGGACUCGUUUAAGACUUCACUUAUGAAGUAAACGGGUCUCUGGACCUUAUAGGCAUGACCUGGUUCAUCAUGCUCGACCACUAUUGCUGUGGAAACAACCCUGUCGGUUGCAGCAAUGUAAAGGAGUAGGUCUUCAUUGGGCUGAGGUGCUGUGAGGACAGGUGGUGAAGUGAGGAAAGCCUUAAGCUGAGUGAACGCGGCGUCGGCUUCCUCUCUCCAAGAGAAUUUUUCCGACGCUUUCAAGAGUUUGAAGAAAGGGAGGCCUUUUUCUCCUAGCCUUGAGAUGAAGCGACUGAGGGCGGCCAUACAUCCGGUAAGCUUCUGAAUAUCCUUGACGUUCUUGGGUGGUCGCAUGUCGAGUACUGCUUUUACUUUUGAAGGGUUUGGUCGUAUGCCGUCGUAACUGACAACGUUGCCGAGCAGUAGACCGGAAGGAACACCGAAGAUGCACUUUUUGGGGUUGAGCUUCCACUUGUACCUAUUAAGCGCCUUGAAAGUUCGGUCUAAGUUGUCGAUUAGGGUGCUCGCGUCCCUUGUUUUUACGACCACGUCGUCUACAUAGGCCUCGACGAGGUCAUCACGAAUCUCGUCGUGGAGGCACUGCUGGAUGGCCCGUUGAUAAGUGGCUCCGGCGUUUUUGAGUCCGAAUGACAUGGUCGUGUAGCAGUAUGCGCCGAAAGGGGUAAUGAAAGAUGUUUUGAUCUGAUCGUCUUCCUUUAGUGAAAUCUGGUGGUAACCAGAGUAGCAGUCUAGAAAAGAGAGAAGUUCGCAUCCGGCCGUUGAGUCGACCACCUCGUCGAUGCGAGGGAGACCAAAAGGAUCUUUAGGACAGUGUUUAUUGAGAUCAGUGUAAUCAACGCACAUUCUCCAUUCAUUAUUCUUUUUGCGUACAAGAACCGGAUUGGCGAGCCAAUCGGGGUGAUACACUUCUUUUAUGAAUCCGGCUGCUAGAAGCCGUGUUAUUUCUGUCCUAAUAGCCUCCUUUUUGUCACGAGCGAACCGUCGCAGCUUUUGCUUGAUUGGUCUUGCGGUCUUCGAGACAUUUAAGGAGUGCUCGAUCAGGUUUCAUGGGACGCCGGGCAUGUCUGCGGGUUUCCAUGCGAAAACGCUCACGUUGUCCCUUAGAAACCUGACGAGCGCGUCUUCCUAUUUUGGAUCCAGAUUGGCCCCGAUGAGGGCCGUCUUCUCGGAGCUGCCGUCGACCAGCUGCACUUCUUUGUACUCCUUGGAUUUUGAAUUCUUCCUGGCUGUCUCUUGUUCGGGCAAUCGGAGCUGGUCGGGAGGUAGCUGCGCGGCUUGGGUUGCUGUUUCUACCAUGCGGAUUGAGAGGUCGAUUGCUUCGGUGAUCUUGAAGCUCUCUUCUUUGCAGGUAUACGCGGUGUAGACAUUGCCUCUGACGGUUAGGACACCCUUCUCCGUAGGCAUCUUAAGGACCAGGUAUGAGUAGUGCGGGACUGCCAUGAACUUUGUCAGAGAUGGUCGGCCCAGUAUAGCGUGGUAGGUCCCGUUGAAGUCCGCGACCACGAAGUUGAUGAACUCCAUCCGAAAGUGGUCGGGUGUGCCAAAUUGGACAGGCAAUGUUAUCUGUCCGAGAGGCACUGAACUCUGACCUGGCAAAACCCCCAAGAAUUGGGCAUCGUAAGAUUUUAGUUGUGCCGGAGAUAUCUUGAGAGCGGGCAGGCUGUUGCGGAAGAGGAUGUCGAUGGAGCUUCCUCCGUCCACGAGCACGCGCUCGAAUCUGAUGCUGUUGAUGCAAGGGUCCAGGAUCAGAGGGAAACGACCUGGCUCUGGGAUGGCGGCCCACUGGUCCUUCCUGCUGAAUGAGAUCUCUCUGUGCGACCACAGGGGAAAUUUUAGGUCUGCGAUCAGUCCGUCCGUGCUGUCUAUGUUGAGGCAGGCUCUCCUUAAUAGCUUUCUUUAACGCUUAGAUUCGAUGGAGACCUUGCCCCCGAAGAUGGAGUGGACCACGUCAGUGGGGCUGACGUAUUGGUGUCGGGGGUCCCUAUCUUGGUCCUCAUCCUCGUCUUCGUGGUCGUGCCCGUCUCGCUUGCCGUUUUUCUUGGCGGAGUCGUCUUGGGCGGCCCGCCGUGUAUAGAUGCUUUUGAGGACGCGACACUCUUCCAUGGUAUGAUUAGACUUUGGAUGUAGUUGGCACGGUCCCUUCAACGUUUUGUUGUAGUCUUCUUGGUAGUCCCGCCGCCCGUUGGGGCGCUUGACCGUAUUUACUUCGUGGUCGUAGUCGUGGGGGCGCUUUCCUCUGAAAUCAUCGCGGUUGUCGCGCCGCCGAUCCCAACCUUCUCUGUGAUCGCGGUUGUCGGGGUGUCGGUGGUUCCUGUUGUCGUAGCGACCGCGACCGUCGUCUCGCCGGGGAGGCUGGUCGGGACCUCUCGCAUCGUCUCGGAUUAGUUUUUCUGCGUCGUCAGCAUCGGCGUAAUUUUUGGCCGUGGCGAGGAGCUCCGCCACCGUUGUUGGCCGUUUACGCAACAGCUUGUUCCUCAGCGCUUCAUGGAAACGUAGGCCCUUGAUGAAGGCAGAGAUGGCCUCGUUGUGGGAAAUCUUUGGGAUCUUAAGGCGCAUAUCCGAGAAUCGUCGGAUGUAGUCGCGCAGAGGUUCGUUCUUCCUGUCCCUUAUCCUUUCGAGGUCAUACUUGUUUCCAGGCUGCUCGCAUGUGGUGAUGAAGUUGUCGAUGAAAGCCUGGCGUAGCUCUUCCCAAGAGUCGAAGGAGUCCUCGGGCAAGCCAAGGAGCCACUGAUGACCAGCUUGAUCGAGGACUACGGGGAAGUAGUUGGCCAUGACGUGCUCAUCUCCCGCUGCUGAUCGGACGGCGAUUUCAUAGAGAGUGAUCCAGUUCUCUGGAUUUUCCUUGCCAUCGUAUUUUUUAAGUUUUUCGAGCUUGAAAUUGCGGGGCCACACGACCUGGCGGAGGUGUGAGGAGAAUUGUCUUAGGCCCGGGGGGCCGUGUGUUGCAUCGUACUCGAUACGACGCAGGUUUUCGUGGACUGCUCUCUCUGUGGCACGCCUGUUGAUGCGGUCCCGGGCAUCUUUGGGAGGGAUGUUGUGCCGGAGAUCCCUGUGUUGGUUUACUUCUUGACCGCGUCUGCGGUUCUGCUCGCGGUGACCGUCAGUGUCCUGACCACCAUCGUCGCGCCGUGAAUCUUUUCGAUGGUUGUCGGGAGAGCGGCUACGGCGACGCCUGCUGGGAGGCGGUGAGGUCCGGCUACGAUUAGUCUGGUCGGAGGUGGCUUCCGUGUAAGAGACGUCCUGGACUCUCUUGAGCAGAGUGGCUGUCUGUCCCAUUGCGGCGAUCAGGUGUGCUCGGAUGCUGGUCCGGACUCCUUGGCACCCAGGGGUAUCAGGGAGCCGAUCUAGAUUAGCCAUGGCGACAGCCACGUUGGCGCUUGGCGUCUUGUAGACUGGCUGGUCCCCGACCAUGUCAAAAGCGUCGUUGAGAUUAUGCGGUGGAAUUUGUUGUUGCUCGUCUGCACGUCGUCGGGCGCGAUCGGCAUUGCGCUGCUCGCGGAGUUGCCUCUGCUCAUCCGUUUCUCCAUCGACGACCGGUUCAUCGGCGCUGACGUUGAAGACAAUAUCUCCUCGCCGAGGGGGGAAUACCGGGAAACGAGGGAAACCCGGAGGGUGUGAAGGCAAAUCUAGGUCGUAGUCCUCGUCUUCGGUGUUUAUAACUUCGGUGGGGACGGAACCGGUGCUCGAGUUGGUGCUGGAAGCCUGGCCAUCCCGUAGUUCUCGGAUUGUCACCAUGUUGACGUAGUGACGACCGUUCCUUUUCGGCGGCCAACCCGCCUUGCUGAAAACGGAUUGGAUGUGCCGUGAGUAAAGAGAGGCCGAGUUGUUCAGGCCGCAAGGAUGAUCUCCCUUCUUGAGCUUGACGGAUCGUCCUGAGGGGGUUGAGGUUAUUGUUGAUAUUUGGUAACGCAAUUAGAAAAUGAUCCGCAAGCGCACGGAUAUCGGUGAGCAUUUCACCCGGGAGGUUUUCCAGAGUAUCGUAUUUAUAUUUUUACCACUGGGAGAAAGGGUGCAUCUGACUAACCAAAACUAUUGCUACUAUCCCUUUAGGCUACAAAGAAUGUCUCUCGAUGUGAGUGAUGUAUAGAGAAGACUGCAACCGUAGUCUCGUUCUAACCUUAGUAAGGAUGAUCUACUGUUCUAUUGGGGAGGCUCACAGAAUCUAGACAAAACAAAGGAUGUUCGACCCGCACCUAUAAACCUACCCGUCCUGCUAACGAGAUGUGAUCUGCAAAGGUAACUCGGAAAUGUCACGUUCCUCGCUACUACCACGGUCCAGCUAGUCAGGGGAUAUCUAUGAGUACCCUAGCGAAACGGUCCUUCUAUGCGUUUUUGGGUCGAUAGGCGAGGUGGUACUAUGUUUUCCUUGAUCCAAUAGGUCGGUGGAACAUCCCGAGCGAAAGAGUCCUGAUUUGGCUCCAACAGGGGGGCGGGCGCCCAGGCUACCAGGGCGGGCGCCCUGGGCCUGGCCCAGUUUCGCCUCCGCUUCGGUCUCUUGGCUUCUGGAGUCUUCUAGAUGAUGUAAAAUCGUGCGGUGCGUUGAUAUCUCUAUGUAAUCCCGACAUGUGGGCCUUUCUUCCUUAUUUCCUGAUAACCCCCUGCAGAAAUAGACAAACACCAAAACUCGUGGAAUUCUGUCAGAUAAAACCCUAAGUCUAGAUGUUGAUUUCAUUUGGAUCCUUUUCUUUGUUUAUUUGAUAAUUAAAUUUGAUACUUAAGGACCGUCAACAAGCUCCCCCAAGCUUACCUCUUGCUCGUCCCUGAGCAAGGAUAGACUCAGCAAUGGAUUAGAAGUAGUUGCAAUAUCUUUAAAAAUUUGACGGUACGCAAGCUUUUAAAUAAGAUCUCAUCUCUGGGUUAGAGUAAACUGUCAAGACUUAAAACUUACUUACUUUACCUUUCACCAUGGGACUUGUAACUGUCACCUCUGUCUUGAGAGGUUAAAAGAUAGAACAGUCUAGUCAAGUGCCAUGUCUCUUAUUCUUGAUCAGCUAUAGCUCUGGGGUUUUUGCAGAUUUUCAAAUAAAACUCAGAGAUUCCUUGUAUGAUUCUCUCAGGUCUCUCUUUUGUGGUAUUUUUGGAUCCUUACCAAGGCAGUGAUGGUAUAUGCCUUCUCUCAAUAUAUGUGGUAUUUGUGGUAUGAGGCAUAGUGACAUUGCCUACUCUCUCACCCUACUCUAAUAAGGCUUUAAUAUCUGGAGCUCAUAGGUGGGAGAUAAAAUAUACAUACUUACAAGACAUUUAUUGCAUAGUCAAACCAUGGAUCCAAAGAAACAAAUCAAUAAGCCAAAUCAAGAUGUGUAUGUGUGGCGAAUGAAUGGUGUAUGGUGAUGAUGGUGAUAACAAUGGUGAAAACAAUGGUGGUGGAAGUCUAAUUCUACUUUGCUCUUUGAGGGGAUACAUACCUUCCUUGCUUUUGAAACUUUAUGAGGAGAAUGAGAUGCUCUUCUUUUUCUUUCCUCUCAGGUGGGUAUCUUGUACCCCUAAUUCUACUAUCGGACACUUGUCCAUUUUUACCUCUCGUCUCACUUUUUCUUUUUUUUUCGAGGUUCCGGGCACUUGCCCCUUUUUAUUUCCUCGUUUCUUUUAUUUUCUUUUUCUCUCUUUUUUUUAGAGCAUUCAUCUCUUGAGAUAAUAUAGCAAGUGGUAGUAACAAGAUAACUUGAGCAUUUAUUUCACAAAGGGAAACAGAAAUAUUUUUGGUUAUUCUCUCCCGGAUUAGGAGUAGAAUAUUUUUAGGUGAUUCUGGAGAUGGAAAUGAGUGGAUAUAUGUGGAUGGUACUUCCGGAGUGGAAGUAGCAUAUAUGAGUGGACGUGCAAGUGAAAUCUUGAUUUAACCACAUGACAAGCUCCUAAGGGUCUACACAGCUUGACCACACUCAAUGUUCAUAAGCAGUAAAUAAUAAAUGUGUGGCUCAAGGUCUAUGUAUAUAUGGCUGUGGUAGGAAUUUAAACUCUCAUCAUACAGGAACUCAUCAUGCAACAUUUUAAAGAUUUUCAAAGAUAAAAUUCUCCAGAAUUCUAGCAUCUCUAGGAACAGAUAAACAGCAGCUCAACCUUCCCAUAUCGUAUCCGUUAACAACUUAGACUUCAGAUCAAGUUUUCAUCCCACAAGUUUAGGUCUAGAGCAAGCCUUAAAUUAUAACAGUUAUGUCUAAACUUGAGAGAGAACUUAAAAUGUGCAAAUUAGGCAGAGCAACUAUUCAUCAUAUCCAUGCUUGAGUUAAAUACAGAUUAGCAUAGCCACUUUAUUUAUUUAUUAAACACACUAAGCAAAAUAUAUAUAAGCAUAAAAUCUUUAUUUGGUUUUUCAUAGUUAUGUGUAUAAUAUAAGUAUGAAGAUAGAUAGAAAUACUUAUCGAGGUAAAUGGGGGUGCUCUCCCCCAAGCUGAAUUUUGACGUAAUUUCUCUUGAUGUAGCUAGCAGGUGGCAGAGGUGUAUUUGAAAGUCAGCAACAUUGUGACAGCAAUUAGAAUGUCCUCCGUCUGCUAGUCUUCGUGAUUCUUAAAUUCUAUGGAGCUCAAAUAGACAACAAAGCUUGUGGAACUGAUUAAGUGUUAGCAUAAAUAUCUAGCCUUUAUUAUCUUGAGACUCCUUAAUAAUCAUUACUCCCUGUUUUUAUAUUUUUGUUUUCAUAAAGUAGAAAAAUAUUUAUUUUAUUUUUAUGCCACCACAGUGAAUGUACUUAUGGGUUUUAUGCCACUCGUGUACUCACAUGGGGCUUACUGUUUUUCACAUUUUUAUUUUCUUUUUAGGAUAAUACGAACAUGAUUAACUAAGUAAACUAUUUGAAAUAAUUGAAAGGGAAAGGAUAACUACCAAGUUUACCUCUUGGCAAGGCGUUCGGUGUUUUUAAGUCCUCCGAACGGGACUCUCUAUUUUCUUAAUCAUCCUGAGGUUCGUUGGGUGGCGUAGUCGGUACUUCCGGCAGCGCCUCCUCUUCAUUUAUAGUUAUCUUCAUUUUUCAUACCUGACUCGGUGUUACGGUCUCCUCAGGGCAGUUCUGUUCAAGUUGUAUGUCUUCAGUCCUUAUCACUUCCCCUUCGUAGUCUACCCAUCCGUCCUUGAUGAUUUGCCUCCUCUGGUUGCAGUUGUGUUGUCUUCUUCUUGUCCUGUCCAGCUUAGAAUCUUCAACUAUAUAGUUAGAAUCAUUAAAGUAGUGGUGUACCUUCUCAGAGGGGAAGUGCAUGUGGACUUCUCCGGUUCCAAUAUAGAUAAUGGCUUUGAUAGUGCUGAGGAACGGUCUUCCAAGGAUGGUGGAUGGAUCAUACUCGUCUUCUCCCAUGUCAAUGACUUGGAAAUCAUCUGGAGCUGAAUAUAUGUUGGUUGUAGGGGCAUGGUUCCAUGCAGGAGCUGAUAAGUGACUGCGGCCAUUAUGUUGUCGUCAGAUCUGGUGUCGUAGAGUGUCUUCUGAAAAGAGUAUCUAUUGAUUGUGCAUUCGAUUCUUGGAACACCAGGGUCGUCCUUCUUGAUCAAGAAAGGUGACUUGCGUCGACGAUCUUGACCUCCUUGAGCUGCAGUGACCAUCUGAGCUGACUCAGUCCACAUUUGCUUGUUCUUGUUCCUCCUGUUGGUCCUCUUCCUUGGUUCAUGUCGGGUUUGCUCUGAAGCUUGUGUAGUCUUGUUCUUGAAGGAAAGUCUCCUUCUUCCCCUUGAUGUAGAGACUAAUCUUGGCAGCAUUAGCGUAGAUGACAGCUCUGGUGUUUAGGAAUGGCCUCCCUAAGAUGAUGGGUGCCCUCUCCUCAGUACCAGUCUCUAGCACCACGAAAUUUGCUGAAGCGUACAAGGUACCAACUCGGACACAGAGGUUCUUCAAUAUUUCCU
rnacentral:lncRNA from 1 species